UUUGUUGGCCUUUUUCAUUAGGUACUUUCGGAUUCCGAAUCUGUUCGGUGGCUAAACCAUGCUGUUGAAAAAAUAUGGCCUAUUUGUAUGGAACAGAUUGCAUCACAGAAGAUUCUGCUUCCCAUCAUACCUUGGUUCUUGGCUAAGUACAAACCUUGGACUGCUGUAUGAAUUUUGCUUCUCUUAGUACUACUGUUUUAUUGGCUAUCUCUGGAAAAUUAGUACAUAAAGAUUCUGAUUUAGUAAAAUGUUCAAUUUAGUGCAAGAAUUAUGAACAAUUUGUACUUUUUCAAGACUUGCAUUAGCUCCUAUGAAGUUACUUUCAAUGACCAUCAGAUGAUUAUUUUUUGAUCCAUUUUGGGUGUGUUUGACUGAAAUGCUGCUAUACCUGCAGAAGAAAGCUGUGGUUCAGCAUUUAUAUUUGGGAAGAAAUCCACCUUUGAUCACGGAGGUGAGAGUUCUUCGUGAAUGCUCUGAUGAUGACCACUUGGUAUACCUUCUCCCUAACUCCUCUCUGUUGGCUAUGAUUUCUUGUUUCAAUUUUGCGGAUGAUAGAACUUUCAAUUUCUCGUUGCAGGUACUGGAGUUGGGAAUGAAUUUUCUCACUGCUGAUGACAUGAGUGCGAUUCUUGCUGUGAAACUACGGAAAAGACUGGGAUUUGGGAUGUGGGCAAAGUUGCAUGUAACAGGCAUGCAUGUUGAAGGAAAGGUAUUAAUAAAAAUGGAAUGGUAUUAGCUAUAUUCAAUUUGCACAUUAAAAGAGUUUAUAGUCAGUCCUAAGCAGUUGUUAAUCGGGGGAAUUUGCAUGGCAUCGCAUAGUUCGGGCCCCAUCCUGCCCCCUGCAAAUUCUUAACUUUAUUGACUUACUGUAGUUAACUGGCAUUUACUCCGUGUUUCAGGUUUUGGUUGGGGUGAAGUUUAUCCGGAAGUGGCCUUUCAUUGGUCGUCUGCGAGUAUGCUUUGCUGAGCCUCCAUAUUUCCAGAUGACUGUGAAACCUGUCUUUACGCACGGACUUGAUGUUACGGAACUUCCAGGGAUUGCUGGAUGGCUUGUAAUAACUCUUUUUCCUGAAAUAAAUAUUCAACUUAUAUUUUAUGUUCUUUUCCUUCCUCUCAAUCUUAUUGUGUAUCCUCUUUUGCUUGCGUAGGACAAGCUUCUCUCGAUAGCAUUUGAGCAGACACUUGUUGAGGUUAGUUUUCCUUAACUCUAAUUGCCAUACCAUGGCAUAAAUUCCAUCUUAUAUUCCACAAAUGCAUAUCGUAGUUUUAGAAUGCACUUACAGGUUUAAGUUACCCGCAGCUUUCUUCUCUAUCGAACUUUAGCUCCUAAUAUUUGUUUAUUUUGCAGCCCAAUAUGCUGGUUGUGGAUGUUGAGAAGUUUGCUUCACCCAUUCCAGGUGAUUUUUUCAUUAUUUUCCAGUAUUUCGUUGCUCUUCUAUUUUACUUAUAGCUCUUUUCGGGUCAUUAACUCAUUACCAGUUCAGCUGUUUUCACGAGUCAAUUUUUCUCAUUCACCUUUUUGUUGGUUCUGUCCGACAGAAAAUUGGUUUUCUGUCGAUGAGAAGCAACCUAUUGCUCAUGCCAAGGUUGAAGUUAUUGAAGGAUCCGACAUGAAACCUUCAGAUUUAAAUGGUCAGUUUUAAAUCCAUUAUCUUACUUUUUCCAUCAUGUAAAAUGCAUGGUUUUAUGGUCAUUGAUUGGAUAUAAAAUUUUCAGGAUUGGCUGAUCCAUAUGUGAAAGGGGCACUUGGCCCGUAUAGAUUCAGGACUAAGACGCACAAGAAAACUUUGUCUCCGAAAUGGCACGAGGAAUUUAUGAUUCCCGUCUGCUCCUGGGAGGCUCCUAGCGUACUGAUUAUUGAAGUUCGUGACAAAGACCAUUUAUAUGAUGAUAGCCUUGGGUUUGUCUCUGAAUCUCUAAAAUAACCAUAUUGCCUAUUUUGCUUUUUGAGCGCCACUGCGUUUGCAGUUUCUGCACUAUGUCGACAACCCUUUCCAAUACGCAUUAGCUCAUCUUAGAAAUAGUGCCCUUUUAGAUGUUUUUGAUCCGUGAUAUAUGACACCACUAUUUGUUUUUCAAAUUCCUUAUGACUUGUUUAAGACUCUCAAAUGGUGUACUGAUUUGCUGUGUUUACAGUAAGUGCUCGGUAAAUAUUACUGAACUUCGGGGUGGCCAGAGACAUGACAUGUGGUUGCCUCUUCAAAAUAUUAAAAUGGGAAGACUGCAUCUCGCAAUAACUGUUCUCGAAGAGAACGCUAAGGUAAUUUAUUCUAUGAUCCACAAUAAACUUGGAAAGUUUUAAAUUGUAACCUUGCGUGCAAAUUAUGAUUAUGAGUUAAAAUGUGCCGAGAAACUUAAAAAGGAUGUGUGGACAGUUUACGCAGGUAAGUGAUGCUGCUGCAGUUGAUGCUUUUGACGAGGAAGCCUUAAACAAGGAAGAUAUACAAAACUCAUUUGCAAAUAUAGAUGUGAAUAAUGGUUUAUUCUCGCCUACGUCUUCAAAGAAAUCUCCAACCCUGCCGGAUCAUUUAGAACCGAUAGAUGUUGAAGGACAAGAAGAAACUGGGAUAUGGGUCCACCACCCCGGAAGUGAAGUGUCACAAACUUGGGAACCUAGGAAAGGGAAGGGUAGAAGCCUUGAGACACAGGUUCAUAAAGUGCCUAAUAGUUCAUUUGGCAGCACCAUCUCAGCUGCAUCUGGAUCCUCUAAAAGUGAUGACAGCAGCGCCGAGGAAAACCAUAAUCCUAAGAAUCGAGUCAACACAGUUAAGCAGGGUUUACGGAAGAUCGGUUCUGUAUUUCAUAGGAGUCCCAAGAACGAGGGUCACUCAGGCAACCUCGGAGAAGUUCCAUCUCCCCAUGAAAACCUCAGAGCAGUUAAUGACAAGGAGAUUUUGGUGAAGUUUGUAGUCGAUGACAAUCUUUCGGCUGAUAAGGUCUCAAACGAAGGAAGCUCGAGUCCUGGAGCAGAAAGCCCUGGAAAGAUGAAAGACAUGGCGAAGAGUAUUCUAAAACAUGCCGAGAAAUCUGCUCGUAGCAUAAAACAUGUUAUUUCUCGUAAAGGGUCGAAAAAAUCACGCAAUCUAUCAUCUGUGGAAGAACAAGAGUUUCCAAUAGAAUCUGACGACUCCUCCGAUGAUGAUGAAUCUUCGUCAUCCCCCGGAGUCAAGGGAAUACCAAUUCUUUCCAAUCACAUGCCCAGCUCCAGCGGCAACGACGAUACUCAGGAGCAUGUCAUUUUGACAGAUUCAAACUACCAGUUGAACCCUGAAACAAAUGUUAAGGAACAAGUAGAGAAAACAAGCGUUGAAGGACACAACAGCAUAGAUGACGAAGAUGUGAACAAUCCCAUUAAGCUCGGUAAUGGAACGAGCAACAUAGAUGACGAAGAUGUGAACGAUCCCAUUAAGCUCAGUAAUGGAACGAAUGAACCACCCUUGAAACCAAAUCCUUCGGAGAGUGGGAAAAAGGUAGAAGACACUCCUCAAACAGAUACCAAAGUUUAGGUUCAGUGUUUGUAUGUGCAUCCAUAAUAGAAGACUUUGAAAGAGUUUUGAAGAACAAUGGGUAUGGUCCAGCAAUAUAGAGUUUUAGAUGGAUAAGCAAUACAUAAUACAUUUACACGUGUUCCCUGUAAAAAUCUCCUUUGUUUGAUUUCUCAUAUUUGUUAUAUACAGCACAUCCAUCUUUGUAGAGUUCCAAAAUGAAAACAGUUUGUACAAGUUGAUGGUUUUUAAAACUUCUAUUCAAGUUAUUUAUUUAUUUUUAAUUUAAAAUUCAUAAUUUAAUUGUCAAUCAUAUGUCAAAAUUGGCCGUUAAUAACCGAUUUUGAUUUUAAGCAAGGAUGAUUGCAUAUUUUUACAUCCAAAAUACAAGAUAAAUUAAAAUAAAAGUUGGUAAAACUUGCCAAAUAUUGUCUCUAACACAUAGGUUUCCGAAUAUUCCAACGAGAUAAAUUAAAAUAAAAUUAAUCACCCUACUUUAGUCAUCAAAAUUUAAUGAAAUAACAAUUAGAUUUAAUUAUGUCGUUUAAACAUUUUGCUACAUUUGAGAAUAAUCCCUUAGUUUGAGCAUUUCAGAGUUUUGGAGAACAAUGUAUAUAUUAUCUUACAAGCUCAGAGAUGAGACUGUACUUGUUCCCAGCUCGAAACCGAAAUGAUUUAUAACAGGUUGCAACCGGAAGCUUUGCUACUAUCAGACUCCUUCAAACAUUAAUUCUUCUGAAUUUCCGCAUUAUGUUGCAUAAAAAUGUUAUUUCAAGAGAGCUAACAUUUCCACCAAUCGUAUUAUGCACCGUUCGCAUACAAACGGGUCCAUUCCUUAGCUGCAAAUAGUUAAGGAAACCAAGAACAUCAAUAGUAAGAAGCAUGGCAUAUCAUCUUUGAUUCUAGUAGUCAUCUAAGAUUGCAACCACAGGGUUUCACCUGUCUCGACGGCUUCGGCCUCGUUUAUUUUCCAGUGCUUAGCAAUGUUUUCCGAGAGUGGAUCAUCAGGAUUAGGAGCACUCAAGAGUGCUUGAAUGCUAGCAAUAACGAUAAUAAUUUCAGUAUUAACUUAAAACUUGAUCAAGAUACCGCAAUAACUUAAAUAACAUCUUCAACCCAGACAUUAAUGAAACCUCUUUCCAAGUAUUAAUAUGUACAUACGAAAAAGCAGUGAAGUCUUUCAUGCAGAACCGAAGCUACAUAAAUAGGGUUAUGUUGCACAAAAACUUAUAAUACCUCAAAAGUACAGUUCGAAUCUGGAGAGCCGGACUCCAUUUGUCUUUAAGAAUAUCGAGGCAUAUUCUUCCAAGCUGCAAGAAAGCUCAAUCCUUAGAAGCCAACAAAAUACAUCUUUAACACCAUAAAACAAGGACAAAAGAAGGAACAGGUAGAGCUGACCUUAUCGAUGUUAGGAUGAUAUAUCUUUGUAAGAAACCGGACCUGUUAUACCAAAUUUGUUCAGGUGGAUAAAAAUACAGAACAUACCAAAAAGGGCAAAACUAAUGGAAGAUGAAAAAAUUCUGAGAAACAAACAAGUCAAUCACCAUACUAGUAAACGUAAGAACAAGCAGUUUGAAAAGCCAGUGCAUAUAACAUACUAUUAAAUGUUCAUUUCCAAUUAAUAUUUUCCUCUCAAAUGUCAUUAAAAGCAAAUAAUGAUAUAGAACCAAAACUUCACCAUGUUGAAAGGAGAAUCAUACAUAUUUGCCAUAACAAUAAAGUAAAAGAGAAAUUCUGUUGAACCUGAAACUACUGGAACCGAUAAAACAACGUUCUCUACAUGCAAACUAGUGCAUCCCUAAUUCAUAUUAAAAUCCAAUAUAUAACAUUUUCAGAUGAAGUCGAUCAAUAUUGUAUAUCGAAGGAACAUCAAUCGAGCAAAUCCCAACAUAUGCAAAAAACAUGAAGGUCAUACUUGAAGAAUAAGUCACUGUUGAUUACCUUGGGAGCCGCCAUGGGAUAUUCUUCGGGCAAAAAUAGUUCCAACUUGAAAACCCCUCCUAAACAAAUAACCCAAACAAGAAAAUUCAUCAUAAUUCCAUACAUAAUGGAAAAUGAUAAAAAGGUGAUGAGAUAUUACAAAGCAUGCUAAUUGGCCUUAAAUUUCAACACAGAAAACACGGGUCCCUUUCUUUAUCUUUAAAAGAUGGAAAUGAAGUAAUAUAAACGCUGCAUAAUCAUUUUCUCAAAAGAAAAGAAAAAAAGAAGCAAACUUUAAGCAUAUGGAGGUUAUUUUAAUGACUAAAAAUUGGCUAUGGUGUCAAUCUUUAUGUAUUAAAUCAGCUGAGACCGAACUAUUAUACAAUAGCUUCUAAAAUUUUACAGCUCUAACACAAUGAAAAGUAUCAGCAACCAUCAGAUUAAAAAGAAAAUCAACUACCUUCAUAUGGAGAUUGUGUUGGACCAAGGAUCAUCACAUUAAAAUAUCGCAUAUUAUCCUCUGAUGGUGAGGCAUUAAUUCCAGGCGCUGUAUUUAAGGGGGAAAAAAACAAUAAACUCUUUUAUUUACCAGGAAAAGAAACCCAGAAAAUUCAACAAGAAAAAAAGAGAGCAUAGCAUUUACCUGGUUCACUGAGGAGACGCUGAGUUUCCUGUUUAGAUCAAAGAUUAAGAAACAAAAAUUAAGCAUGAAACAUUUACAAAAUUCACAGAAACAAACUAAGAACACUUAAAAUAAUUUGCUGAAGCUUUUGAUUCAUUAAAACCCAAAACAAUUCAGCUACCAGAUCAAACUCUAGAAACCCAGAAAAAAGAACACAAAAAUUAUGAGGCUUCUCAUGAAGAAACCGAGAAGGAUCAGAGUGAGACCGAAAAAGGAACCUUUAUGAUUCUUCGAGGGAGAUUACUGUUGGCCAUUGGCGAGAUCGAUUGCAAGAAAAAAAAAAGAGGGUUUUUGGGAUUUAGAAAUUGAGAGAAAAAGAAAAUAAGAAUCUUUUGUGUAUAUAUUAGUACUAUGCCCACCACGCGAGAAAAAGUAAAAUAGAAAGGAAAUUAUUUAAUGCGUUAAAAAUAAUAUUAAAAGGAAAUUACUUAACAUAAUGUUUAUGUAUAAAUAUAAAAAAAUAAUAUAUAUACUAGUAAUCUCGUUCGAAAAAAACAUUCAGGUCCCUUUCGAUCUCACUCGGUUUCUUCUUAGAAGAUUUUUUUUUUGGUUUAAUUUUGUGUGUUCUUCUUUCUGGGUUUCUGGAGUUUGAUUUGGUGACUGAAUUGGUUUGGGUUUUAAUGAAUCCAAAACUUCUGCAAAUUAGUUUCAGUCUUUUUAGUUUGUUUGCGUGAAUUUUCUAAAUGUUUAUUGCUUAAUUCUUUCUUCUUAAUCUUUGAUCUAAACAGGAAACUCACCGUCUCCUCAGUGAACCAGGUGAGUACUCUGCUUUUUAAUUUAAAAUUUGAAAUUCUUGUUGAAUAUUGUUUGCUAUCGUUUUUCGGUUUAAAUGUUAUGAGCUGAAAAAAAGUUAAAAAUUUCUGGGUUUCUUCUCCUGGUAAAUAAAAGAGUUCAUUGUUUUUUCUUUUUCCCUUAAAGAGUUGAUUGCUUGCUCUCAUAUACACUUCAACUUAUUGGUGAAUUAAUUUAGUUUUUCUGGUAUAAAUUUGAUCAACCCCAGGAGUUUGAUACAUUGACACCAUGAAAGAGGAACAACGCUUACUUCUUCUCCACUCAUCCUCACUCUUCUUUCCUCCUCAAGGUCUUUCCUUUCCUUCAAAAACCAAAAGAUACUUCUUUUCAAUUUUGUUGCUAACAAAAACAAUUAACUUUUUUAUAUUACUUUUUUGGUUUUUCAUAGGAGUGAAGCUAUCAUAUGGGACAGCAGGAUUCAGGGCAGAUGCAUCGAUCCUUAAAUCAACAGUUCACAGGGUUGGGAUAUUGGCUGCUUUAAGAUCACUCAAAACCCAAUCAGUUGUUGGAUUGAUGAUCACAGCUUCACACAAUAAAGUUACUGACAAUGGAGUCAAAAUUGUUGAUCCAAGUGGUGGAAUGCUCACUCAAGAAUGGGAACCUUUUGCUGAUCAACUUGCCAGUGCCCAAACUCCUGAAGCCUUCCUCUCAGUGAGUAGCCUCUUCUUUAUGUUUUUGGAUGCGCGUUUUAUUUGCUUUAUGGUAAUUCAGUGAAAUUGUUGCUGAAAGAUGAUGGGAAUUGAUGCAUUUUUAAAUAUAUUUCCAAAUUUUCUUGAUGAUUAAUGUUAAGGUGUUGUAUAAGAAACAAUAGCUUUCUUUCCCCUUGAUGAGAAUACAAUGUAUUAUGCAUAUAAUUAACAGAAAAAGUAAACCAACUAAUAUAGUCUAAAGAGCCCACUAGUAGUUGAAAAAAAAUUCCAAUAUGAAGUUAGAGUAGUUUGUGUAAGGUGAGACUUACAGUUGAGACCUAAUGGUUUUAGGAUCGUCACCUUACCACUGAGGCAAGGUCAGUUGAGAAAGCAACAACCGUUUUGAUACUAUAGUUUAUGUUUGUUUGAUGAGCAGUAGUGAACUGAAGGUGUAAUAGUUUUGUUUAAGCUCAAAAAGUAUGCUAAAUUUUAGUAGUGUUGUGUAUUUGAUAUAAAUGGAGAGGGAUUUUUAGGAAAGGGAUGGUGAGUUUGAAGAGCGGAUUUAAAUUCUAUGUUAAAUGUGACUAGAAAUGCAUAUUAUACUUAUCAAUUGUUUGUUCAUACAACAGCUCAUAACAGAAUUUGUAGAGAAGGAAAAAAUUCCAUUAGAUGGAGUGCAAUCUGCAGAGAUAUUGUUAGGAAGAGACACCCGGCCUAGCGGAGAAUCCCUCCUUGAAGCUGCAAAGCAGGUACACUUUUUUCAAUCAACAGGGGAUUGCUGAAACUUUGAUAAUUUUCAUUGUGAUGUUAAAUGCAUCUAUCAUUUGCUAAUAUCUGUCCAUUUUUUAGGGAAUAAGUUCAAUUCAUGGAGCUAUUGCUCUUGAUUUAGGAAUUUUAACAACCCCACAGCUGCAUUGGAUGGUUCGUGCUAGGAAUAAAGGCAUGAAAGCGACAGAACCUGCCUAUUUUGAACAGAUUUCAAGCUCCUUCAGGCUAGUUGAAGCUUCAGGGUUUUUUGUAGCCAUUUUUUAGCUUGAAAUUAUACUACUUACAGUAAUGUACUAUUGUUUAGGUGCUUGGUAGAUUUGAUCCCAAAUGAAACCAAAAGCAGCAAGAUGGAUAACACAGUUGUGGUUGAUGGGGCUGAUGGUGUGGGUGGAGAGAAACUUGAAGUUUUGAAAAGUAUGUUAACCAGUUUAGUUAUCGAGGUUCGUAAUACUGGUAAAGGUGGGGGUCUAUUGAAUGAUGGGGUUGGUGCCGAUUACGUACAGAAAGAGAAGGUUGUUCCACGUGGAUUUUGUUCCAAUGAUGUUGGAUUAAGGUGUGCUAUCUCUUCAGAUUUGGGAGUAAAUUACUGUUAUCAACUGUUUAUAAGCUAAUUAUUCUUGCAUCUCACUGAAUUGUUGAUCAAAGGUUAAAGGCACAUUAAACAUGUAACAAAUUUGUGAUAUUCUUUUCUUUUUGUAACGAGUGUGUAUAAUUAACAAUUUUUCGAUGGUUUGGUAACUGUCUAGUUAGCAAUGCUUCAGGAAGUGAUUACUAACCAGACACUUGAUCAUUCAUUGACUAGUACAACAACUAGUUUGGAUAAUUGAUUCAUGAUGGUAUUUGAUAGCAUUUUUACCAUACUAAUGUUUCUAGUGUAUGUUUUGAAAUCUGGUUGUGCUCUUAACUAUUGUUUCUCAGGUGUGCAAGUUUGGAUGGUGAUGCUGAUCGCCUUGUAUAUUUUUCGGUCCCAACUAGCAGUAGCAGAAAAAUUGAUCUUGUUGACGGGGACAAAAUAUUAUCCUUGUUUGCAUUGUUCAUCAAGGAGCAACUAAGUAUUCUGACCAAGGAGGGCACUGAAAAACUUGAUAAUAGUUAUCAUGCUCGACUUGGUGUUAUACAGACAGCUUAUGCUAAUGGAGCAUCCACUGAUUAUCUCAAACAAUCGGGUUUGGAAGUCAUUUUUACUCCUACAGGGGUAAAACACUUGCAUGAGAAAGCUGCUCAGUUUGAUAUUGGAAUCUAUUUCGAAGCCAAUGGUCAUGGCACUAUCUUGUUCUCUGAAUCCUGGUUGUCUUUGUUAGAGGCCAGGAACAAUGAACUAGGUUUGGCAUCUGAAGGUAAUUUAUGAAUAAAGUCCUUUUCUAUAGAAGAAUUAUCUAUUAUAGUUUAUCGAGUAUUAUUGUCAUUUUUUUCUCAGGAUCCGAACAACAGAAAGCUGCUCUAAGACUACUCUCUGUCAGUAAAUUGAUCAACCAAGCUGUUGGAGAUGCUUUGAGUUGCUUGCUUUUGGUUGAGGUUAUUUUGCAACAUAAGGGUUGGUCCAUACAUAAAUGGAAUGAACUUUACCAGGAUUUACCUAGUCGACAACUUAAGGUCAGUUUUCUUCAUCACUCUUGGAAAAGAAACAAGGGUAGUCUUUCUCAUCUAUAGAAGGGAUCAUAUCUACCUUUUCUUGCUAGUUUUCCAUAUUUUGACUAAGACCUUUUCUUUUGUACGUUACACCUAAGACAUCUUAAAACUCGUUGAAGAGAUGGACCGUUUGAUCUUCUAUAUGAAGGAGAAAGUAUGCUUCACGUCUGUUGAAAUUGAAAAGGAUUCAUAUAGUCCUCAAUAGAGAGGCUGAGUUUGAGGGCUUCUAACCAAAACUACUAGAGUUUGGCUAGUAUAAGCAUGCAACAUUAGCUUAAUAAUAUUAGAUUUACUACAUGAGAAAGAGAAAAAAGGGGAAAUCUUUGAUACAACUGAUUUCCGCAUGCUGCAUCCUCUUUAUAAUGUUUUUCUUGUAAACUCUGCUAUUGUGUAGUCUUACAUUAGCAAUGCUCAAACUAUUUAAUGUUUCCAUUGCUUGUGCUAGGUCAAAGUUGUAGACAGAACAGCCGUUGCAACAACAAAUGCCGAAACUGUAGCUAUUAGUCCCCCUGGCAUUCAAGAAGCCAUUGAUGCUGAAACUGGUAACAUUUUUGUCAUUGAUCUCUUCUCAAUUCAUGUUUUGGUGCUUAUGCUUGGGCUUAUUUUAUGGUUCAAUUAACAUCUCACUAUUGGGGGAAUAUUUUUCUCUUAAGUCUCUUUUGAGGCUUCGUGUAUAUUAACUAUUUCUGAAAACUCAUACAAAAUGCAGCGAAGUACCCUAAAGGCCGGUGUUUCAUACGGCCAUCAGGUACAGAGGAUGUCAUUCGUGUUUAUGCAGAAGCCUCCACCCAAGAAGCUGCAGACAGCUUGGCCGGUUCUGUUGCCAAAAUUGUUGAUCGUUUUCUAGGUUUUAGCAGCUCUCAGCAGUAGCUUCCCUAAUCUUUCACAUUAUAACAGAAAUCACAAAUGGAGACGCAGAUUACUGUGGGUGCUUUAUAUUGAUUCUUUGUUUUGAAGGUAAUAUAUUUUAUUAUACUUUUUUAUAACAUUAAACUUUGUCAUCUUACUUUUACAGGCAUUGAUUUCAAAUUGAGUUUUCCCCACUACUUUGAACACUACAGAGUUCCUUUUCUGUUCGGUAUCUACUCGUUUAUGUAAAUGCUUCCCUGUGCGGUAAAAGUACCCCACAAUCUUUCUCCUUCAUCCCUUGCCCUUCUUUUUACUGGUUGAUGAAAUGGUUAACUCCUUUGGCUGACAAUUCCGGCUCCAACCGAGUAAUCCAUUUGGUGAUGGGCAAGGAACACAUUGGUUUUCCUCCCAUCUGUGCCCCAUAAUGAGUUCCUAGAGAAGAUUGUAAUGUCUCUUCCCAAGCAUGUCAAACGACCUUGUCAUAGUAGGUAAAAAGCCUUCAGGUUCCCGUCGGCCUUGUCAAAAUGAGAACCUUUUGCCGAUCAACUUCCCAAUGCCCAAACUCUUGGAAGCUCUCCUCUCUGUGGGUAACAUUUUGUGUUUGUGGAAGUGGGUUUUAUUUGUUUUAUAGUAAUUCACUGAAAUUAUAUCAAGAAACUAUUGGAACAUCCGGAAAUAUAUUUGAGCACCUCCAACUUCUAAUAAUUAACAAAAAAAAAAACCUUUUGUGCUACAGGGUACAGUCUUUUUUAUAUUCAACAUCACCAUAAGCAUUACUUUUCAACAUCAAAUUAUGUUUAUCCAAUUCCUCAAGUAAAAGGUUAACCAACGAGGAAUCAAAAAAGAAAUGCCAGUCCUUUAUCAUUAAAUAUUUAAAGUGUUAAUAAACAAAUCCAUCCACCAAUCCAUCAAAAACAAUGUGAAACUGAACAAUGAUGUACCAUUUCCCUGAGAUCCUUCCCAUAUAAGUCUUGAAGAGCAUCACACUCCACCAAUCUAUCUCCUUCGCUCACUUCACACAAAAUUUCCAUUGUAAGAACAAAAAUUUUAUUUACUCGAGUUUAAAAAGGUUAAAAACAAUUAGUUUAACUUUUUAAUUUUAAAUUGAAUCGAUUGAAUCGAAUAGUUUGAUCUAUGAACAAUAAACUAACAAAUAAAAAUAUAUCCCGUCACAUAAUUAUUUUAAGUGUGUUAUUUCAAAAUAAAAAUCUUAAAGUUUUGAUAGUUAUAAAAGGAAUUAUUUAGUUAAUUAUUAAUAAUCCACCAACAUGACAUGUUAUAGUAUAUGAUCAAAAAUAUUUUCCUAUAAAAAUAUUUAAAAUAAUUAAUAUAAUAAAAAAUAUGUCUCCUUAGUGGGGGUUUUAAAUUUUAAUUAAUCCGAUUUAAAUAACUAUAUAUAAAUAUUAUUAAAUUUUAAAUAUAAAAUAAACCGAAUUUAAAUUCAACCAAACCGGUUCAUGGGCCUGAUACGAGCCCACCGUUUUUCUUCAACAAACCGCGAAAGAGCAGAUAGCGAGAGUGAUGUUUAUAGACAAACGGCCGAGAGAAUGACAAUACACUCACCAGUCACCAAACCAGCAAACCAAACAAAGGAUAACAUUAAAAAUGAACACUUAUAAAGAUAUCUUCUAGAUUUUGCUUAUUAAAGCUUUGAUUUGAUCGUUUCCUCGAUCUCAUUUUAUAUUUUUAAAAUUAGUCUCAAACCCAAACCACCCCAUUCAGCGGAAUUGACAAUGCUGCUUAACGUGGGUACUUUCAUAAGAUCAGCUUCUCGAUUUUCUCCUUUCAUUAUAACCCAUUCUUCUCUUUCUUCUCCUUCUUCGUUUUGUUUCAGUUUCUCUCCAAAGCAAACCGUCUCUUUUGCUCUACAAUCAUCACAAAUGGCGUCUUUUACUACGUUAUCUCAAUCGCCUCCAAAGCUAUUGUUUCGUCAGUUGUUCGAGAAAGAAUCAUCUACUUAUACUUACCUCCUUGCUGAUUGUUCCCACCCGGAUAAACCAGCGCUUGUAAGUGUUUUUUUUUUCUUAAUGAAAAUAAAAUCUGGGUUUUGUUUGCUUUUGGGUUAUUAUUAUUAUUAGUAUUUGAUAUAUGGUGAAAAUGGGUGUGUGCAGUUGAUUGACCCUGUAGACAGGACUGUUGAUAGAGAUUUAAAUUUGGUUAAAGAAUUGGGGUUGAAGCUUAUUUAUGCUAUGAACACUCAUGUACAUGCUGAUCAUGUUACUGGAACUGGCCUCAUCAAGGUUUUCCCUUUCUCACUUUUACUCUACCCUGUUCUCUAUAUUUUUGGGGUUAUUAGAGAAAUAAAGUCUACUAUCAGUCAAUUUUGUUACUUAAGACUUGAGACUGUUGAACUGGAUAAUUCAGGUUCUAGUCAUUCAGGGGAUGUUAUUGUCUCUUAGAUUGAUGUAUAUGAAUGUGAUUGUUCCUUUUAGGGCAAGGUGCCUGGUGUCAAAUCCGUUAUUUCAAAGGCCAGUGGUUCCAAGGCUGAUGUUUUUGUUGAACCUGGUGACAAGAUCUCUUUUGGGGAUCUCUUUCUUGAGGUAGGCCCGUGUACGCAAAACUACUUGUUCUGUCAGUUUCGUUGUAUGGAUCUUUUUAAACAAUUCGGGAGAAUAUAGCUAUGAUGUUGCGGUGGUUUACGUAUUGCUGGCUCAUUAUGAAUUCUUUGUUUUUUUUUUUUUUUUGAAGAAAAGCUCGUUAUGAAUUCUAAAAGAUGAAAAAGAAAAUAGAGUUAGAGAUGUGAGUAUACUGUGUAGGUAAUCAUGACCAGCAUUCCAAUGGUUUUGUUAUUUAAUUGGUAAUUUGGUUUGUUGUUUUGAUUACACCCUAACUUCCAAUGUGGUUUAACUGGCAUUAUUGAAUGAUGACCAUUAGGUCUACUGCAGUACUAUCUUCUAUAAUAUGGUAAUAAUUGCAGGUUCGUGCUACUCCUGGUCAUACAAUGGGUUGUGUUACCUAUGUCACGGGAGAUGGACCUGAUCAACCUCAGCCAAGGAUGGCUUUCACAGGAGAUGCUCUGUUGAUAAGGGGAUGUGGGAGGACAGAUUUUCAGGUAUAAUGUCUUGAAAAUGUUAUUGCAGCUAAUCGCAAAAAAAUGGAAUGAAUUAAUAUUAAUGUCAUUAAUACAAAAGGAGCAGUCUAAAUUAAAAUGUUAAGCAUGUAAACCAAUCUUGGCUUUUCUUAUGCAUUUUAAAAUUUUUGUAUGUCCCCAUGUGAUGUUUGGAUUAGGAAUGUAUAUUUAUCCACUGAUAUGUGUCCCAGGAAGGGAUUCUUGAACCGAUAAUUGAUUGUUUUUGCAUUUAAUUUGCAUGCCCUAUUUGUAUUUCAAACAAUAGGACCGCUGCGUAGAUAUCUAACUCUUGGUUACCUAUUUGUCUAGUCUUCUACUUAUCGGUGCUUACCUUGUUACUGUGGUUGCACAUAAAGUGUUUGUCAUUCACAAGCCUCAUGGUAAACUAAUCAGUAAUUAAAUCAUCCUUGAAGUAAAAGUUUGAACUAUCAGGGCUAUACUUUUUGCAACGGAUUUUCAGUCGUGAGUACAUAAAUGCUGGUCUUAUAUGCUGGCAAUUUCUUUCCAUCUGGAUGUCAUUGUCAUGGAUAUUUCUGUCUUCCAGGAUUUUUGUUAUACUCAAGUUUUUAAGAUAAUUUUCUCUAAUGCUCCCACAUUCAGUAGCCAUUGACUAGCACUGAUUAACGCAUUUUGCAGGGUGGAAGUUCACAGCAACUCUACAAGUCAGUGCAUUCACAGGUAAGGACAGGGGACUUUUUAUGGUCCCAUUCUUUGAGUUCUCAAAAUUUUAUUAAUUGUCAAAUUUUGAAUAAAAAUUAUGGACUUAUUUGUUUCAUGGAUCCAGAUUUUUACAUUACCGAAAGAGACAUUGCUAUAUCCAGCUCAUGACUAUAAAGGAUUCUCAGUAAGAUAUAAAACUUUAUUCCUAUCAUUUCUUACAUAUAUAAAUGAUUGCUUGAUUUUAUAAACCUCAUUGAUUAUAGGUAACCACUGUGGGAGAGGAAAUGCUAUAUAAUCCACGCUUGACAAAGGAUGAGGUAUUCUUUCUGGAACCAUCCAUCUUCAUUUUUCUUUCGAAAAUGGCUUGCUACUUUUGACAAUAGAAUGCCUGUUUUCAUUUCAGUGAUAAGAAAGGGUUUCCUUUUGUCCAUGAAGUCUUUUAUGAUCUAACUUGUAUAAGCUGCAUAUAACUUCUGUAAUUAAAAUUACAUAUGCAUUGAACAUUUCUUGCUGAGCAUUGGUUUGAUUCUCUUGGACGGGACUAUUCCAAUGAACAUCGCCAUGGUAAAACAGGAAAUCAUGAAAAAGCAUGACAUCUCAAUACCUUCACGCAUUUGAUUGAAGAUUACUCUUUAUUAUGGUCAUAGAAUACUAGUUUCAAUUUGUCCCAUCAAUAUGUCUGAUUAUAUUAUUUGUUGAAUACCCUUUUUGCAGGAGACUUUCAGAAACAUCAUGGAAAGUAAGUUGAUGCUCAAUAUAUCCAGUCUAUAAAGAUUAUUAAAAAAUAAAAGCAUCCUCGGGUAUUUUCGGGUCGCCGGUUCUAAUUUCUCCUCUGUUUUUGUUGGUGCAACAGAUCUUAACUUGGCAUAUCCUAAGAUGAUUGAUGUUGCAGUGCCAGCAAAUAUGGUUUGUGGGUUGCAAGAUUUGGAACCUAAAGCCAACUGAGGCUUUGCUGGAUCAUCCAUAAGUGUGCACAGAUUUUAGUUGUAGUAUAAUUCUGGAUCUUAAUAUCACUGGAUAUGCUAAAUAAAAUGGCUAGAGAAGCCACGUGAUUGCAAGGAAUCCAUAAAUUAUAUAUACUAUAUCAUAUUGUAAUCAUGUAAUAUUGUCGUCCUUCUAUCUGCAUCAACUUGUGUUGUUCAUACAUACCCUCCUAAGUUACCGAACUUUCUAUCUGCAUCAACUUGUGUUGUUCAUACAUACCCUCCUAAGUUACCGAACUAUCUAAACAAGACAACACCAUGAUAUAUCAUAUAUCCUUUAUUAUUGGACCAACCAUAUUCAGCCAUAUCCUUUACAUUUCUGAAUUCGAUCAAGUAGAACUUAUUAGUAGGUAUAAGCUAUGAUUUGAAUUUGAUUUCAAGAUAUAUAACGAAUUGUACAAAUUUGUUGGAUUAACUUUGAUUUUAAUUUCAAUAUUAUAAUUUGAAUUCAAAUUAAUAUUAAAAAAUUUCAUUAAAAAUUAACUCGUGAAUUCUUUUUUCAAAAUAAAUAUUAUAUUAGAAUCAAUAACUUAAACUGACUCGAUUAACCGAAGCGAAUAAGGAAUAAUUUAGAUUCACAAGAUGUGUCAUUUAUAGCCCAAAUUAAAAUGUAAUAAUAAGUUAAAAUUGCCAAACUGGGUAUGAUAGGCAGUAGGCAGCUUCCUGAAUCCGAUCCUAACGCUCAAUUUUCUAUAGUUGAUUGAUCACCAUAACCAGAUCCCAUUUCCCAAUCUAGAAUUUCCCUGGGAGGAGAAAUGAGUAAUGAAGAUAGAAACAGAGGUGUAGCUGUAGAUAAACAGCAGCAUAACCAAUAUGGAACAUUCCAAGGAGUUGCCAACUACCCUCCUCCACGGCCUCCACGUCCCCACCACCACAACCCGCAUCCGCACCAGCACCAGCACCAGCACCAGCACCAGCACCAGCACCAGCAACAGCACCAUGGGCCAACUAUUGGGUUUCCUCCACCUGCCUCUAUCGCUCCUCCUCAGUAUUACCCCCAAGCCUACCAUACCGUGCCGGGUAUUCUACAAAUAUGAAAAAACCUUCUUCUCUUUUUAUUAGCUUAUCGAAAUGAAGGAUUUUGAGAUUUGGGUUUUUGUUAGAUGGAUGGUUAAUGAUAUUUUUUAGAUGAAAGAUACAAGUUUUUUAAUGUUUUAGAAGAAAAGGUGUUUCAAUAUUAGGAGUUUUUUAGCAGAGAAAGAAGAUAAGUAAAUGCAUAGAGAUACAUUAACAAUAUUAUUUGGAUUUGGUUGUCAAAUGUAUUGAAGAAUUUUUUAAAGUGUGGGAAGAUUCAAAGUUCUAUUAUAGCAGAUAUAUAUAUAUAUUUUAAUGGUUUAAGAAGAAUGGAAGUCGGUUUCAAAGGAAGAUGAGAAAUAAAAGCAUUUAUAUAUACGAUAUGUCAUUAAUUCAUAAACCAAAUAUAUAAAAUAUGUAAAAGUGUCAGGGGUUAAUCAUGGUGUUUUGACAAGCCGGUAACCUCCAACUUGAAGAAAACCUUAGGUUUCUAAAAUUUAUGUGAAGAGUUAGAAUGGUAUGCUUUGUGGAUCUGAAUAACUAGAACAGUGUAAGAGUGGUAUACUGUGUCAAGUUUGGUUUCUUGUAUAUAAUUGUAUCGAAAACAAUGUUACAUGAGUUAAAAUGAAUGUUCAACCAAUUUAACAAAGCCUGCAUUAUGUUGAUCAAAAUUUUUAAUUCAUGUUGAGGUUUCUUCCGUGAUAUCUUUGAUGUCAAGGUUAUGAUGUUGCUGAAGGAACACCUGUAAGAGAUAAGCUACCGUGCUGUGGCAUUGGAUUCGGAUGGUUCUUGUAAGUGUACAUAGUUUUCUUUGUUUUUAAAGAGUUCUUUACAUAUGAAGUAAAACAAGUAGCAACUUGAUGUAUAUGUCAUUAUGCUUUAACUUAAGCAAAUCAUUUUCCUUUAUCUCUAAUUUCCAUUUCUUUAAAAGAAAAAGAGGGAGUUUUGUAGUUUACAGUUUGGACAAAUGGAAGUUAAUAUAAUGCACUAUUUCGAUGGAGAUAUCCAAUCAUAUUGGAUGAAAUGUUAUAAGAAACCUGUGAGUUCAUAUUGGGUUUACUUUAUAUCAUAAUUAGAUUGUUUAUUUCACGUUGCUACUUGUUAAACUAUACCACUUUCACAUUCAUACGUGAAAUGGCUGGGAUUUAGUGCCAUUCUACUUAGCAGCCUCGUGUAAUACACAGGUGAAAUGUUUAUGUCUUCAUGUCACCUUAAAGUUCCCAUUUCCAUGACGGUAUUGUUAAGUAAAGACUGGUACAACCCCAAAAUACGGAAAUUGUUUUGGAUGUAUACUACUUUACCAUGCAUGAUUUUCUACAAGUUUGCAUGAUAUUUUAUUACUAUAUUGGUCGUUAUUUUCUGUACUCGCAGCUUCCAUUAAUAUAUUUUUAUGAAUUUUGAACUUUCUUGUUUAAUAAGUAUGCUGCUUUGAAGGUUCAUCAUUGGUUUCUUCAUUGGGGGCCUUCCCUGGUAUAUUGGAUUCUUUGUUUUACUUUGUGCAAGGAUAGACGACAGAGAGAAAGCAGGAUAUAUUGCUUGCACAAUUGCCGUGAGUAUCUUUUCUAUCAGUAUUUUUUCUUUUCCAAUUUUAUGAAAGCCAUCCUUCCUGCCUUGUAUGGGUCAUCAAUUUAACCAUUAUAUAUAUGUGUAUCUUAUGUAUUUGUACCAUGUUUUAUCUUCAAUGCAAAUAUAAGUUAAACUACAAAGAUUGGAUUGUUAAAAAAAAUUUAAAAUGUUAAAAAAAUUGAAAAUUUUGAUUUUGUAAGAAUGAUAGAAAACCAAGGCCAGUGCUUGCAUAUGUUAUCUACUACAUGCACAAUCGUGUCGAUGUCUGUCUAUAUGUUUCUUGUUUAGAAAUCGUGUUCAAUUGGGUUACGAUAUGUACUAUUGAAGUGUCAAUUUAUAAUUUCCUUAUCAAGAUUACACAUUUUUUUGUUAAUAUUCGGAAAUCACUCAAUGGUUAUAAACCCUGCUUGGAUACUGUCCACAAAGUCUAGUUGGAACAUCCCUUGUAUGCUUUGUCCUUUCUAAGAACUUUUCCUUUCCAUCAUUUUCGCUUCUGUUUUUUUUUCUUCCCUCUACUUUAAGUCAUUAUCUAACGUAGAUAUCCCUUGUAUUCUUUGUCCUUUCUAUGGCAAUCGAGUCAAUUGAUGGCAAGCCAAAAAAAAAAAGAACAGCUAUCCUGUCUUAAUCGAUUGCCAUCCCUCCUGUUAAACACCAUUAAGAAAAGGAAAAUUUUAGUUAAGCUUUAAAACAGCCAUGAUUUAACGAUGUUGGUGAUGGUGCUUGUGCAGGCCCUUCUUGCUACAACUACAAUUAUUCUUAGUGCAACAAUUAAAGCUGGUGGGUGAUAAAGCACCUCUUUUGACUGAGAGAUGUAUAUGUUCCCAAAUAAUAUGUAUAUGCUCCCCCCCCCCCUCUCUUUAUUUUAUUUUAUUUUAUUUUAUUUCCAGUAAGUUAUUGUUUAUGAUAAUUUGCAACAAAUGUUUUUGUCAUUAUUUUGUUGGUGAAUGAUAAUAAGAUUAAACUCUACUUUCUUAAGCUCCAAUUCUUUAAAGUUGGUGAUUUUUUAUUAUAGUUGAGUCAUUGUAUGGCAUUAAUAUAAUUUAUGUCGCUUAAAAUUUAUUACUAAAAAUGUAAAAUUUAAAUUUUACUUCAAUUUAUUUGUAUUUAUAAAUGGUUAAUUCAAACUUAUUUUUUUCCUCAUUAUAUUUUAUAUUUAAAUUAACAUUUAAACUAUUUUUCAUUAGCAAUGCUGUUAUUAAUUAUAUUUAUUAGCAACAACAUCAAACUUACAAAAAAUUAAAAUUUUAACUAUCUUUUAAAAAUAUUUUUAGCUAUUUAUCAUCAUAGAGAAAAAAAGGUGAGGUCACCACGCCUCAUGCUUAGACACCACAAGCUAGACUCUCAAGUCUCAUCACCUGUAUUUAUCAUCGAUUCAAAUUUUUAUGUCUACUGUAUUCCAGAACUACCUAAAAAUAUAUAUUCAAGCUUCCUCUGGUUAAGUUCAUUGAUAGUCAACUUACUAUUAUUUCUUAAAAAAAAAAAAAUUGGUUAAUAGUAAUAUCAAUGAUUCAAUUUUAUUCUUACCAGUAUCUGUCCUUUAGAAAGGGACUUAUAAAAGAGAUAGAGGUGAGUAAACUUGAGCUUCAGCUUUCCUCAAACACCUUAAUUUGAAGACACAGUUCUCUCAUACUAAAAAAGACAUGGAAGUUUGCCUUGUAAUUAGAGAUUUGGUUUCAUUGCUUGUUGUUGGGUUAUUAAUGAUAUGGGGAUGGAGAACUUUAAACUGGGUAUGGCUGGCCCCAAAAAGGCUCGAAAGCUGCUUGAGACAACAGGGUUUUGCAGGGAAUCCUUACAGGUUCCUUUCUGGUGACAUAAAAGAGCUCUUCACUAUGAGCAGACAAACAAGAGCCAAACCAAUGCCUCUUAGUGAUGAUAUUGGGCCUUAUGUUGUUCCUUUUCAACAUCAAACUGCUAACCAGUAUGGUAUGUUUUUUUUAUUUAAUCUGCAAAUUAUGAUAAUUCUUUGUUAUUUAUGUAUGGAAUUUAUUGGGAGGAAAUGCAGGAAAGAAUUCAUUUACGUGGUUUGGUCCAAGACCAAGGGUGAACAUUACGGACCCUGAAAAAAUAAGAGAAAUACUUAACAAAUUUAAUGACUUCCAGAAGAUACGUACCAAUCCUCUGCUUAAUUUGCUUGUAAGCGGCCUUGUUAACCUCGAAGGAGACCGAUGGAGCAAGCGUAGAAAAAUCAUAAACCCUGCAUUUCAUCAAGAUAAGUUGAAGGUAUAGAAUAGUGAUGGGUAAUCAGACUUUACAGAAAACAUCAUACUUAAACCAAUGCUUUUCUGAUUUAGAAAUAAUUGGAUGCAGAAUAUGUUGCCAGCAUUUUAUCAAAGUUGUAGUGACAUGUUAAGCAAAUGGGAGAAGAUGGUGUGUACAGAAGGAUACAGUGAGUUAGAUGUGAGGCCUUAUCUCGUAGAUUUGACAAGAGAUGUGAUUUCCCGAUCUGCUUUUGGAAGCAGCUUCGAAGAAGGCAAACGAAUUUUCCAAUUACUAGAGGACCAACUCGUUCUCACAAUCAAAUUAAUACAAACUGUUUACAUUCCAGGAUGGAGGUAACCGUCAACUUAAUUUACUUGAAAAAGGUUGCAAAUCUUGGAAUUGGCUAAAUUCGUGUUUGUUUUCUUGAAGGUUUUUGCCAACGAAGACAAACAGGGAGAUGAAGAUGAAACACAGAGACAUAAAAGAGUCGCUUAGGGAAAUGAUAAAGAGAAGGGAGAAGGCAAUUAAAGCAGGGGAAGAGAGCAAUGAGGACUUGUUGGACAUACUUGUGGAAUCCAAUAUCAGAGAAAUGGAAGCAAAGAAUAUGGGGAUGAGCAUUGAGGAUGUGAUUGAGGAAUGCAAGCUGUUUUACUUUGCUGGCCAAGAGACCACUUCGGUCUUACUGGUGUGGACUAUGGUUUUAUUAGCAAGGUAUCCCGAUUGGCAAAGUAAAGCAAGAGAGGAGGUUUUGCAUGUUUUGGGUGACAAUAAACCUGAUGCUGAUGGCCUUAAUCGUCUCAAAGUUGUAAGUCCCUAGCAUGUCUUUUGAAGGUCCGAUCAAUGAGGUCGACAACUCAAAAACUUUGUUUCUUUUUUCGCUAAUUCUACAGGUAACGAUGAUAUUGUACGAGGUUCUAAGGCUGUACCCACCGGUGGUUGAGCUAGGACGUUCCGUUCCAAAAGAAAUAAAACUGGGGAAUUUGUUGUUACCAGUAGGAACAGAAGUUUCGGUUCCGAUCCUGCAGAUCCACCAUGACAAAGAUCUUUGGGGUAACGACGCACGGGAAUUUAAGCCAGAGCGGUUCGCGGAAGGGGUUUCCAAAGCAACAAAGAGUCAAGUCACGUUUCUGCCAUUCGGAUGGGGUCCUAGGAUCUGUAUUGGCCAAAAUUUUGCUUUGAUGGAAGCCAAAAUGGCGAUGGCUAUGAUUCUCCAACGCUUCUGGUUCGAGCUUUCCCCUUCCUAUGCUCACUCUCCUUACAGCAGGGGAACUCUUCGUCCACAGCAUGGUGCACAGAUAAUUUUACAUAAACUUGGCUGUAAUUGAAUUGUUAUGUAAACAAAUCUUUGUGAAAACAUAGCGUUUUAGUGUAUCGUCAAAGUCCGGUGUCUGUAAUGGUACAAAUUCGAUGCAUGAAUAGUAAAUUUUGAGAUGUUUGGUGAAGUCCGAAAUAAUAUGCAGAAAUUGAGCGUCUAUGGUGGACAUAGUUGAGGGACUAAUGUGGUAAUUAUCAAUCAAAUAAUUCGGUACAAAGACUUGUAUGGAAAUUAAAGCAGGGGGAGUUGAAAAUGACUACUCUGCUUUGGGCAUCAAUUUAGAAAGAUUUAAAGUACAACUGUGUUAUCAGUUAAGGGAUUUGUUUUAAAGAGGGAAUGACAAUUAAACCUCAUGGUUUAUUUGUGCAAGGGAACCGAUGAUGGGAUGAUUAUUCUUAGUGGUAAAAAAAACCAUUAUGGAGGUUAUUACACUUGUUAUCAUCAGCUUAAAAUUCGAAUGGGUUCAAGUCGGAUUAUAUCGAGCUUGUAAGAUGAGUUCACGGACCAAGUUUGCAUAAUAAAAUACCUAAAUGAAAAAAAAUUCUAUUUUAGAGGGACGAGAGCCCCUAUCAACUCCCGGCUCAGCCACUAAACAAUACCUAUAUCAUAUAAAUAAAUACCACCAUCUAAAAGACUCAAAGAAAAACACUCAACAAAGGAUAAAUAGAUAGAUGUUGGAUAAGUGUCCAAAAUAUGAUUUAAGUGAAGAUACAUGUGGUAGGUGUUACGGAAAUGUGAAGACAAGAAUCCCACUAACGUAUGGGAUGUGUGCAGUUGAAUGUAGGGAGCAAAAAGAGGAGUGAAUCAUUUUGGUAACAUUUGGACAAGAAACAUAAUGAACAAAAUGGAAGGAGAGGAAGCUAGUAAAAGAAUUUUUUUGGGUCAUAUAAUUUGUUCAUUUUGGAGUUGAAUUAUAAUUUUUUUAUAUAUUAUUUUAAAAUUUUAAGGAGUUAAAACAAAAUUAUUUUAUUUUCAGAUGGUCAAAGUAGAGGUGAUAAUGGGUUGGGCUAUUCGGCCCGGCCUGACGAUUCACUCGAAAAAUAGGAGGGUUUAGGUAAAAAUAUAGGCUCGAAAUAGGGAUUUGAGCAAAAAAAGAGUCCCGUUUAGAAAAUGGGCCAGGCCUCGGGUAAAAUUUUUUGGGCCCAAGCCUGACCUGAAUUAUAUAUUAAAUAUAUUUUUUAAUUUUUAAUCAAAUAUACUUUUUUUUAUUAAUUUGGUUAUUAUUUUAGUUCUAAUUUGUUUCAAUUUUAAUAUAACCACUUUUUAUUAUAUUUUCAAUUUGUGUAUUGUUUUAAGAAUUGUUUUAGUCUCAUUUUUUUAUUUAUUUUUUGUUUUAAUAAUUGUUUUAAAAAUUUUUAUUUAAUGAAAUAAGCUAAAAAAAUUAAUAUGGGCUUGGCCAGGCCAGGCUCGGGCCUAGUAAUUUUCUUUUGGGCCGGACUUAGAUAAAAUUUUAAGCCCAUAUUUUAAAUUGGGUCCUAACCUAAAAAAUGAACCUAAAAUUUUAUAUGGGCCCGACUUGGCCCUUGAUUACCUUUAGGUCAGAGCUAUCCUCGUUUUGCAUUUCUUUGAGAUUCAGCCUUAUCUACUGUGAUUGCCCACUCAAUUGAGGGUUGAGUAGAAAGAUUUGGUGAAGCAAGCUAAGCUAUCAAUCAAGGUUUGCAUAAUUAUUUAAAUGUAAUUCUAAUAUUAAAAUAAUUUUUUUAUUAAUAUAGUAUCAACAAGCAUUAAAUGUAAUGAUCAUAUACUAUUACAUUUUAAAGAAGAGAAAACAUGUUUGAACUUUAAAAACCACGUUACUAAAAACAUUAUCACAAACCUUGAAAUAUAAAAAAUAAUUUUUUUAAUAUAAUAAAAAAUUAAUUUUAAACCCGAGCUGAAUAAAAUUCUAAUUUUAGUUAAUGAUACGAACAACAAAUCAAUAUUCUAAGCCCGAGCCCUGCUCAUUUUUUUAAUAAACACCAAAAAUUUAUUUUGAAAAUAAAAAAUAAAAAAAAUAUUUUAAAAAUAUUUUAAAAAUAAAAAAAAUUAAAAAUAAAUAUUUAUUAUAUAUUCAGGCCGGGCCGGGCUAGCCUUGGGCUAAAAAAAUGGUGCCCGAGGCCCGGCCCAUUUUCUAAAUAGGCCUCAUUUUUUGUCCAAACCCAUAUUUUGGGCCUAUAUUUUUACCCGAACCUCUCAUAUUUUGGGCGGACCGUCGGGCCGGACCGGGCCGCCCGGCCAUGAACACCUCUAGGGCAAAGUCACUCAAUGAAUGCAUGGAAAGAAAUAUUGCAACUUGGUGACAGCUUUUGUUGGAGUUAUAUGCUUUUUUUUACAUAGUGGAACUUUCGGUGGAUUUUCAAGUUUCAUGAACUUUAUACCCUAGGCUUUACGUGAAAAAAAUCAUUGGACUUAAAAGUCUACCAAAAGUUUCACUAUAAUAAAUAAAUAAAUAAAUAACAUUGCUACAAGACUACAACAUAAAGUUACAAUAAGAGCUUAUAACUCAACAAAGGCUAUCAAUAAAUAAUCUCAAGCAAGCUAAAGAGAAAUGUUGAGAGUACCACUCAAAUAGUGAUUGACUUUAAAAAUUGAAAACCCGAAGUUAUUGUUGACACCAUUUUUUGGAUGAAAAUGUGUCGACUUGGGUUUUGAAAAUGAAAACGAAAACGAGAGUCGCCACCAAUCCUUUUUGAUAAGGUGUGACUGGGUCACCUUGAAAAGUGGUUGUUUUUAAUAAACGAUUUGAUUUUAUUAAAACAACAGUUUUGGUCCACGAAAUUCAGAAAAAUGAGUUCGGGAGUCGGUUACGCACGAGGAAGGAUUAGCACCCUCGAUACGCCCAAAAUUGGUACCUAGUUGAUUACUUAAUGUCUUAAUGUCGAAAAUUGAAAACUUUGGAGAAUUUUAAACAUACGAUCCUUGUAUUAAAACGUUAAAAAUUUUCAAGAAAAUGGGAUAUUUCACGUUAUUCGAUAAAGAGAAUCAUAUCCUAGUAAGUUAGGACACAAUAUCUCGAAUUUCCGAUAUCAUUUAAAACUUGAGUUUGAAAAGAUUCGUGUAAUAAAGUUUAAAAUAAUAUUCAAUUGUUUAAAUCAAAUGAAGAAAUCGCAACCCAAUACGUUAGGGCACAAUUUCUCAAAAUAUUAAACAUUGAAUAUUGCAUUUAUUUCGAAAAAUCCUCAUCUCGAGAAAACGUGUCACAUCCAAUGCAUUAGAAUACAACGUAUUGAAUUCUCGAUAACGAGCUUUUUCUCAUUUUUUAAAAGAGUAAUCUCGAUUAUUUAGGUUCAACGAAGAAAAUCAAAACCCAAUACGUUAGGGCUCGAUUUUCUCAAAGAUUCCAAAUACCGAGUAUUACUUAUAUUUUUAAAAUUUCUUUUUUGAAAUCCGAGUAAAAAUGAAUGCAAAAUAAUAAAUGAUGACAAUGUAAAUAAAAUGAUACAAGCAAAACAAUAAACAAUAAAAAUAAUCAUACGGGCAAGGUAACAAAUAAUUAGGAACUAAAGAAAGAGAACAAACAAUAAUAAACAUGCAAAUAAAUGAACAAAAUUAACAACAUGAUGCAAAUAUGAAAGAUAUAUAAGCACAUAUAUAUACAUAAAAUAAUGAGAAUAUGAAAAAAUGUGUGUAAUUGGACAUGUUUCGGAAUUAUUAUACAUUUAAAAAUCAUGUAAAUGUGUGUACAUACAUAUAUACAUAUAUAAUAAUCAUUAAAUAUAUAAAAAUACAUAUGUGUAGGUAUAUAUGAGUCAUAAAAUGUAAAGAAUAUAUACAAGAUAUAUUUUGAACGUAUAAAGUAUAUGUAAAUGUAUAUAUAUAAUAAAGGUGUAUGAAAGCAUAUUUUAUAUACGUGUAUUUAUAAAAUGUAUAUAAAUGUAUAUUGAUUUACCAAUACAUAUGGAUUUAUAAUUAUAGAAUAUAUAUAAAAUAUUUACAUAUAUACGUUUAUGCAUAUAUAAAAGUAAGUUAUUAUAAAAUAUGAGCAAGCAGAAUACAUAAAUAUAUAUACAUAAAAUAAAAAUGAAGAUGAAAAUAAUAUAAAACUACUUAAUAUAUUAAUAUAAUAGUAACAAAUUAAAAAAACAGAAAAUAAAGCUAAUAAUAAUUAAUAAUAGUAGUAAUAAUUAUAGCAGCAAUGAUAAUGAUAAUAAUAAUAACACUAAAAAAAUUAAUUAAAUAAUAAAAUUGCUAAAAAGGGAUUAAAUCGAAAUAAAAACAUAAAUACUGGGCGAUUUUGAAAUAAAAAACGGGAAGGACCGAAUUGCAACGCGCGUUGAAAAGGAAAGGGCCAAAACUGCAAAUAAACCACAGCCCCAAAACGCAGCGUUGAAAUGGACCAAGUCGAAAUAAAAAUAAAAUUGCAGGGGCUAAAUUAAAAAUAAGAGAAAAUAACGAAAAAUGAUCAAAUUGUAAUACGCUGCAAAAUCAGGGGGACUGCACGCGCAAAUAGCCCAAAAACUGAAAACACGCGGAUCCUCCGGGUCGGGUCGGGUCGGGUCAGGUCGACGUGCGGAUCCCCUUUGCUAAAACGGCGUCGUUUCAUGUUUAAUAUAAAUACUAAAAAAAGCUAAAAAAAACAGUUUCAUCUUUUUUUAAAAAAAACAGAGAGAAAACUCUCUCUUUUUCCCUCAGGUCCGGCCAUGGUCCGGCUUGGGAUUUCCGACGAGUCUCCGCCGCAAAGCCACCGUGUGUGGCGGCCGGAGGUUCAAAAUCAGACCUUUUUGGUCCUUUUUUAAAGUCCAUGGCCUCCAAGCCACAGAUCCGGGGCUGAAUCUCCUGAAUCGAAAGCCGAAGACCCAAAAAAUGGGGUGAAAUCCUUCGCCUUCCUCCCCCUUCCGGCGCUGCGCAGGUAAGGUUUUUUUUAACUCCUUUUUUACUAUCUUUAUUUAUAUAUAUACAUGAAGAGAAAAGAGAGCAAAAUAAAUAAAUAAAUAAAAACUUCAAAACUGAAGAGAAAAAGACCUUGAAUCUGCCUUAUUUAUUUUCUUUCGGUUGAAUCUGUUUUUGUUUGUUACAAAAGUUUCCAGGGAAGAGAAAAAAAAAGAGAGUUACAUGCUUGGCUUUUAUAGCCGAUAUUAAUUUCUAUUUUUUGUUUUCUUUUUCCUUUCUUUUCUUUGGCUGUUGCGUGUUUGCUUCCUUAUUGCAGGGUGAUUGACGGGAGUGGUUGGCGACAGAGUCGGUGGCCACUUGCACUGAUGAAGCAGCGGUGGCGGCGCUAGGGUAGGCUAGGGACGGCGGCAGUACUAGGGUUUCAGAAAACUGAAACCCUAGUUUGACAAAUUGGUUUCGGGCCUGUUGGGCUUUAAAUUAUGGGCUUUGUAAUUGGGUUUUGGGUUUAGGUGAUUUGGGUUUAGGUGGUAUGGGCCCGGGUCAAAUUUUGGGUAAUGGGAUUGGGGCAAAAUUGGGUUGUACAGUUAUAAUAUCCCAAACGAAAUCAAACUAUAAACAUUAAAUUUUUCGAGUCUUCUAGAUACUGUAAAAAAUUCAGCUCCAACGGACACCAAAUGAACCUAUGAUCGAAGAAAAUACGAAGACUAGUCUGGCUAAAUCAAUCUGCCAAACUUACUUUUUAUCUUAUCUUUAAUUUGCUGUGAAAUUCAAAACUACGUGUAAUACUCAAUUUAUGCUCGACCCAUUUUGUUAAAACAAAUAAAAAAGAAAAGAAAAACAAAAUAUUUAAAUUUAGCCCAAAUGUCCAUUUACACAGCCCAAUUACAAUUGCAAAUAAAAAAAACUAAAACUAAACCCGAUCCUAAGCAUCAGCCCAAAUUCGACCCAUGCCCAAAACGAAUUCAGAUGCAGAAACCCUAGCCCAGCCUUAAUGCAAGCAAAAGUCGAAAGCCCUAAUAGUUGGUGCGCCGCUCCUGUAACAGCCCGAUUUUGGGCCUAGUCGGAACAGUGGUUUUGGGACCACAAAUCCGACGAGAAAAAAAUGUAAUGGCCCGAAUUUUCAGAGGUGUCAGAACGGUGAUUCGAGAUCACUAAAUUCGACAAAUGGGUAGAAAAUAUUAUUAAUUUAGUAAGUAUAAGUUAAAUGUGAAGUUAGGAAAAUUUUUGAAAUGGUGAAUAGUACACUAGAAAUAAAUAUUAAAAUAAUUAGAAUCGAAAAUGAGGUAUCGAGACCUCGGGGAUUUUAAACCGAGCCAUAAAUAUUUUUAUAAAUAUUUAUGUAGUCUUAAAAAGUUAGUAUUAAAGUUUCGUUAAGAAAUUUUAAAGUUCCGAUAAUUAAUUGAACAAAAAGGACUAAAUUGUAACAAAUACAAAAUUAUGAGAAAUGAUUAAAUAGUUUAAAUGAUAAAAGGAAGAGGGCUUAAAAGGUAAAUAGACCCAAGGUCUAUUUGGGCUGCACGGCAAAGGCAUGAAAUCAGCAACAAAGUAAGGAGAAUUAAGGGCAAAAUUGGAAUAUUGCAAAAUUUACUUAAUAAAGUUAGGACCAAAGUGGAAUUAUCUAGAUUUCUCUUUAUUUUUCUGCAUUAUCAUCAGCAUAAACACCAUAGAAGGGUUUUCUUAAGCUGGUUCUUCCUAUUUUUACUGCAGGUAAGUUCAAUUCUUGAUUAUUUCUUGAAAAUUUUGUGUUUUUGUGACUUUUACAACUAGGCCCACUUAUUGUAUUCAUUAGUUUUUGAUUCUAUGAAAGAAGUUGAAAGUUGCUAUGAAUACAUGCUGGAAGUAUAUGAUGAUUUAGCAUGGAAUUAGAGCUUUAAAUUGUUCAUAUGCUGAUUUAUUGAAAGAAUUGAAUAGAAAGUGAAUGUUUGGGACCUAAUAGUAAAAGAGUUUGAAGAUAGAGUUAUAUGUGGAAAUUCUGAAUUUCAAUAGUUGUGAAACAACUUAUAAUGUCUAGGUUAAGUAUUAAUUGAGAAAAUUAAAUUAAUUGAGGGGUUAAUUGAGAAAGGACCGAAUUGUAUAAACUGUGAAAUUUGGGGCAAAAAGGAAAUCAACAUUUUACACUAAAGCAGUUUUGGACAGCAGCAGUAGUAUAACUUUGAAAAAUCACCAAAAAUUUUGAGAAUUGAAUUAGAGGGUGAAUAAAAUAUAAAAUUAAAGCUCCUUGAAUCUAGUUUCUCAUAGAAGAAACGGUGUAAGCAAUGGAAUUGUAAAUCAUGAGAUAUAAUAAAUUUUGUGAGACAAUGUCAUAAUGAUUUCGGGUUCCCCUAUUCUGACUUUGGAAAAUCAUCAAAAAAUUAAGAAAAAUAUGAGUUAUAAUUUAUAUGAUUACAAUCCUUAAUGAGUCUAUUUUCAAAGAAAAUAAACGGAAAUAUCAUCCAAAUUCUGUACAAUUAUAUAAUUCAUUUUUAGUGAAGAGUGGUCGAAACUGUCAGACAGCGAAAUAGGGGGAACUUUAAAGAAUAAACUGUACUAUUUGGCUGAACCAAAAAUUCUGAAAAUUUUAUGGUAAGAAGGUAUGUGAGUCUAGUUUUAAGGAAAAUUAACGGAUCUUAAUUUAGAGCUCUGUAGCUCUAGAUAAAAAUAAUUUAGUGACUCUGACUCAGAUAAAUAGCUUUGAAUGUACAUGUGAGUGAAUAGUGAAAUUAUAGCUAGUGUUGUUUAAGUGUGUUAUACACAUUAAGGAUAUGGAAUGGAGAGGAGGAGGAGGAGGAAAAAUUGGGAAAUAUAUGAAUGAUUUGUGUAUAAUUGGUCAUAUGCUUAAUUAUAAUUGAUAAACGAUGAAAUAGAAAUGAUGCAUAUAUUUGUGCAGUAUUGGUCAUGGUUUAAGCUCAUGUGGGAAAAUAAAGUUUAUAGUACGUGUGUAUUAUAUUUUUGGUAUAUGAUUUGGCAUUAAGUAAUGUCGUGAAUGGAUAUUGAAUUAACACAUGUUGGAAAGUUUGAUAUAUGAAUAAAUAUUGUGAUCAUGAAAGAGUGUUACAGCUCCUGCCUUCAGCACGCGUCGAGCCUCCGCGCCAAAUCCACGUGAGCCUCCGUACACUCCAACUAGCCUCCGUACCUGCAACAAACAAAAGUAGACAAAACAACAGCAAAGGAUAGGAAGAAAAGGCAGUAAAUAGUGAAGAUUUUUCUGUAAUUUUCUUUGGAUUUCAUUAUGUAUUUUCGGCUAUAAAAGAGCCAUUAGGAAUAUUUGUAAAGGGUUUUUUUUUUACCCUCACACACAAAGAGAAUAUACACGCAUACAAGAUCAAUAUAGAGAAAGAAAUAAAAAUAAAUAAAUACAAAGAAUAGAAAAUCAAGUUUCGAAGGUGAUUCUUUGAAAAAUCCUUUUCGUUUUUCUCAUUUUUCCUUUUUCCUGGAUCUUUUGUUCAUUUCAAGUAAAAAAAGUAUAGAAAGGAAACAAGUUUAGAGGAAGGAGGUUUACCUGGACGCCGGACCUCGCUCGCCUCGUCGAAAUCGAAGGCUGAGAGGGGAUAAAUCGGUUUUGCGGCAGAAGGAAAGGGGGGCUAGGGUUCUUGUUUUAACUUUUUUAAAAAAAAUAGAAAAGGUUGCUAAUUAGGUUUUAAUGGGGGAUUUAUGUGUGUUAAAAAAACGACGUCGUUUAGCGACCUUUGACCCGUGCGGUGACCCGACCCGAGGAAAGGAUCUGCGCGUUUUGGGUCUGAUGGGUUUAUUGCGCAACAAGCCCUUCCGCAUUUGUUUUUCGUUUCAAUUCGGUUUUUAUUUGUUUUUUAAUUGUUUUCUCAUAUUUAGUUCCAAUUUCAAUUGGGUCCAUGAUUAAACGACAUCGUUUUCAUUGAUUGGGUUUGAAGGCCUGGUUUUGUGCGUCUAAAUUGCAGCAAUGGUCCCCCUGAUGUGCAAUAGUUCUCGAUUUAGUCGUCUCCACACUUAUUUCAAAGUCGUCCUUGAGAUUUUGUUUUAUUUUUGAAAUUGUCCUUGUCUUCUUUUAAUUUAUAAUGAUAUUAUUAUUAUUGUUGUUGUUAUUAUUACUAUUAAUAUGGGUAUUGUUAUCAUGUUAGUUUAUAUCUAUUUAUUUACUUUUAUUUUAUUAUGUAUUAUUAUAUAAUGCUUUUAUCAUGUAUCAUUUUAUAUAUUUUCUAUGUUAAUCUAAUAUGAUAUAUAUAUAUAUAUGUAUUUUUGUGAUCUUAUUUUAUAAUACUUUUUUAACCCAUUUAUAUGCCUUUAUGUUUUAAAGAUUUAUAAUAUUUUGUGCAAAACUAUUAUAUAUAUAUAUAGAUAUACAAUUUAUAUUAGACCAUUUUUAUCGUACAUAUACGUAUAUAUAAUUUAUAUUUUGAAACUCUAUUUUAUUAUAUUUUAUGCCUCUAUAUACAUCAUUAUAUGUUUAUUAUUCUUUAUAUUAAACCUGCCAUUUCACUUAUAUAUUUUUAAAACCAAUGUGUAUUAUUCUUUCUUCUUUGUUAUUUUUUAUCUCUUAAAAUAGAUUGAUAAUUCAUUUAAUUUUUGAAUGUUGUAUGACCGAGAUUAUCGUUGCCAUUCUUGUCCAAAUUUAUCCAUUGCUUGUUCAUAUUAUUUGAUAAUUUAUCGCUCACUAGCAUGUAUCGUAAUUUACGAAUUAUCAUUUUGAAUUAUGUACUACCAUUCAAUCGCAUUACAUUUGUUUGGAAAACAUCGAAAUCGUUUUGCACAUAAACCUUCAAAAUGCUUGGUAUCCAAAAUUCUCGAGAGGAUUGUGCCCUAAUUUAUUGGGCUUCAAUUCCCCUUUUUGAUUUUAAAUAACCGAAUACCCCUUUUUCAAUUUGAACAUAGAAAUUCCAAAAUAAAAAAAAACUCAUUCUCGGGAAUUUGAUGCGUUGUGUCCUAACGUAUUGUAUAUGACAUAUUUUUCUCGAGACGAGGAUUUUUCUAACAAAUAAAAAUAAAGGCAAUAUUCGAUAUUUAGGAAUUUUGUGAAAUCGAACCCUAACUUACUGGGUUUUGAUUUUUUCAUUUGACCCAAGUAGGAUAUCCUUCACAAAUGCACAGAUUUUAAAAAAUCAAAAGAUAAACUUAAUUUCGAGGAUUUAAAAUGUUACACUCUGACUUACUGAGUGUGUCAAUUUAUUUCUUUGAAAUAAGUGAGUCUUAUCAUCCAAUUUAUUUUAUUCAAAUUUUCUUUUCCAAGGAUCGUAUUUUAAAAUUUUUUCAAAAUUUCGACAUUAAGACAUUAAGCAAUCAAUUCAGUACCAAUUUUGGGCGUCACGAGGGUGCUAACUCUUCCUCGUGCGUAAUCGACUCCCGAACCAGUUUUCUCAAAAUUCACAGACCUAAAAUUAUUUUCAAGGUGAUCCGAUCACACCACAAUAAAAGAUCAGUGGUGACUCCCAUUCCUAUUUUUAAAAGUCGAUUCCUGUUUUUCAUAUAUAAAAAAAUGGUUUCGACACUACGGUUUUGUUUGUUUCCCUUAGAACAACUUUCAAAAAGUUAAUUUUGAAAAAUGGAUUGAAUUUUCAAAAUAGAUGAUAUUUUUUUGUGUUAAAAUUUUAUUCGUUGUUUGAAAAAAAAAUUUAAAUCAUUUUCUUAGAAUUAUUUUUAGUGAAACAAAUAUAUCAUAAAUAUAUUUGUUAUAAAAUAUUAUAUUAAUAUUUUCUUUUAACAAUUAAAAUAUAUUUUGUGAUAAGGUAAUAUUUUAUAAUAAUUAAUAUCAUAUAUACUUAAUAAUAAAUCAUGUCUAAUUAAAAUUUAAUUUCAAUUAAAUAUAUUAAUAAAGCUACAUUUAAUCAUAUUUUAUAUAAUUAAAAUAUUAAUAUAAAUAUUUUUCAAUAAUAUAUUAAAGAAUAUUUAAAAUUUAAAUUUAUUAUUACUAAGAUUAAUUAUUAAAACAAAAAUGUAAUAUUAAAUAAUUUAUCCAAUGAUAAGUUAUAUUAAUAAUUUAUUAUAUUAUUAAAUAUAAAUAAUUAAAUAUGUAUGUUUAAUAAUAUUAUGUUAUAAUAUUUAUUACUAAUAUUUUAAUAUUUUUAAACAACCAUGUUUUAAAGAUGGUGGUGAUGGUGAUGGUGCAGGCCCCCUUGUUAAAAUUACAAUAUUUUUAAGUGGGAUGCAUGUAAUAUAUUGUUAGGGUUUUAGAGUAUGUGGUCUUUAAAAGGGUUAAAUUAUAUAUUUAUAUAAUAUGAUUAUUGUUUAUAAACAUAAUAUUGUAGAUAAGUUUAUAUGUAUGUCAAUAUGUAUCCUACUCUAAGGUUAAUAUGUAUUUUUUAGAUGUGGGUUUACCUAUAUAAUAGUAUGAAUCCAUCAUGUGGUCUCAUGAAAUAUACAAACACAUAUCGUGCGAACACAAAGUACGAACAAUAAAAAAUACAAAUCAAGACCCAAUUGAAUAAUUGAAUAACGGAUAGGUAAUAAUGAAUAUCAUAACAUUUACUAUCCCCUCUUUUCUAGUGAGUUAUUGUUUAUGAUAAAUUUGCAACAAAUGUUUUUAUCAUUAUUUUGUUGGUAAAUGAUAAUAAGAUUAAACAUUACUUUCUUAAGCUCCUUCAAUUCUUUGGACGUUAGCGAGUAAACUUGAGCUUCAGCAUUCCACAAACACCUUAAUUUGAAGACACAGUUCUCUCAUACUAAAAACGACAUGGACGUUUACCUUGUAAUUAGAGAUUUGGGCUCAUUGUUGGGUUAUUAAUGAUACGGGGAUGGAGAGCUUUAAACUGGGUAUGGUUGGCCCCAAAGAGGCUCGAAACGUGCUUGAGACUAGAGGUGAUCAAGGGCCGGGUUAGGCCCAGUCUAGAAAAAAAAUUAGGCCCAUUUUUUAGAUUUGAACUCGGCUCGGCUCAAAAUAUAAGCUUAAAAAUUUGUCUAAGUUCAGUCCGAAAGAAAAUUGUUAAGCCCAAGCUCGACCCAUAUUAAAUUUUACAACACCAAAAAAGUAUAUUUAAAUAAAAAUAAAAUAUAUAUAUUUAAUAUAUAAUUCGGGCCGAGCUGAACUCGGGCCAAAAAAGUUUUACUCGGGGCUGGUCCGUUUUCUAAACAGACUUCGUUUUUUUUGCCAAAAUCCAUAUUUUUACCCGAAUCUUCCUAUUUUUUGGGGUGUGCCGUCGGGCCGAACUGGGUAACCGAACCAAUGAUCACCUCUGUAAUCACUGAAUUUUGUCCGGGAAUAACUUUCGUUAAAAAAAUUUUAAAAUUAAAAAAAAAUUAACUUUUUUGCUUUUUGACCCCUAAACUUUUCUAAAAUUUCAUUUUAACCCCUAAACUUUCUCAAAAUUACAGUUCAACCCCUAAACUUUUCUAAAUUACAUUUUGACCCCUAAAAUUUCUUAAAAUUACAUUUGGACCCUUACACUUUCUCAAAAUUACGUUUCGGCCCCAAAAUUUUUGCUACAUUUACAAAUUGGUCCUUCUGUCAGAAAAUCCCCAAUAAUCCGGCGGAUUUCGUGCACCUGCCCCACUAUUUCCGGCAGCCGGCCUAGGGCAUGGCCUUCCCCACCUGCUACCUGCAAACAAGAAGCAAAAUCAACUAUAAAAAGGAGUUUAAACUCCAAAAAUCGGACCCCCACCCACGAAAAAAAUAAAAAAAAAAAACUUGAAAGAAAAAGAAAAAAGCUUUGAGAAAGAAAAAGAAAAGGAAAAGAAGAGAGGGGAGAAGGAGAGGCCGACCAUCGGCGAGCCACCGGAGGAGGCGACGGCAGCAGCGGCAUCGACGGCGGCGUAGAAGACCGAACGGAGAAGAAGAAGAAGAAGAAAAAAAAAGAAAGAAGAGAAAGAAAGAAGGAAGAAGAAGAAGAAAGAAACAAAAAAAAAAGAAAAUAUUUUGUAAUAGUCGGCCCGGCCCGACUCGACCUGCACGACCCGUGACCCGACCCGACAGCACCAGCAACCUAGCAGGCCACGGUAGCAGCCCGGCGGCCCAAAGAGUAGCCCAAAAAGAAAAAAAGAAGAAGAACAAAGCAAAAAAAAAAAGCAGGCCAUUUUCAGCAGGCCCAGUGCAGCCCAGCAGACCCAGCGAACCCAGCAGGCCAGGCCCACACGCAAGCAGCCCAACAGAAAAAAAGGGAAAGAAAAAGAAAAGAAAAAAGAAAAAAGAAAAAAGAAGAAGAAGGGGUUCAAUUUGUAUUAUCCGUUCGGCGAAGCUCGUGUUUUGAGGAUUUUUUUUCGGUAAUUUUAUUUUUUAAUUUUAAUUUAAUGCUCGUAUUUUUUUUAAAUAUUAUUAGUAUUUUAUGCAUUUUUAUAUUUUGGCAUUUAUAUUUUUAAUUUAAUUUACUUCAAUUUUUAUUUUAUUUUAUUUUAAAUAAUUUUAAUAAAUGAGGCAACGAAUCGAUUUAACAUAAAAUCGUUGAUUUCAUUGCUAUGUUGGGUGAAUAUCAUCGGUUUGUGUUAAACACGAUACACCCUUUUUAAAAAAAAGAAAAAAAUCGAAAAAAUUCUAAAAUUCUCAUUUUUUUAAAAUUCUCGUGUUUUAAUAGAAUCACGAUUAAAUAUUAAGUUGAAUCGAUUUGGCACUAAUUCGAUGAUUUCAUCUCCAUGUAGGGAUGAAUAUCAUUUAUUCGUGUUAAAUAUGGUACUUCUGAAAAAAAAUCGGGUUUCAAAAAUUUUCGUGUUUUCAAAAAUUCUCAUGUUUCAAAAAUCUUCGUGUUUUAAAAAUUCCAGUGUUUCAAAAAUUUUCGUGUUUUCAAAAAAAAAUUUCUCGUGUUUUUAAAAAUUCCCGUAUAUCGAAAUUUUCUUGUUUUCAAAAAAAAAAUUCCAUGUUUCAUAAAUUUCCGUGUUUUCAAAAAAAAAUUCUUGUUUUUCAAAAAUUUUCGUUUUUAAAAAAUUUGACCGUGUUUCAUAAAUUUUCGUAUUUCAAAAAAACCUCGUGUUUCAAAAUUUUCGGGUUUUUUUAAAAACAAUUCGUGUUUCUAAAAUUCUCGUAUUUUAAAAAAAAUCGUGUUUUCAAAAAAAGAAAAAGUUGUUGUGCUUUAAAAUUAUCGUGUUUCAAUCGGAUCACGAUUAAUAUUAAAUUGAACUCGUAUUUUUGAAAAUGAAAACAACGCGCGUUUAACGAGAUACCAAUUUUGGGCGUCGCGAGGGUGCUAAUACCUUCCUCGCGCGUAACCGACUCCCGAACCUUAAUUUUCUCUGAAUUUUUACGUGGACCUAAAAUUACCUCUUUUUAGAAAAGUUUAAAAAUGAAUUUUUCUUCUAAAAAGAGAAUUUUGUAGGUGUCCGAUCACACCUAAAAAAAGAUCGGUGGCGACUCCUUUUUUUCAAAUAAAAUCGAGAUUCAGUUUUCAAGUUUUUAAUAAUUACUUCGACAAGCGCCCGUGCGCAAAAUUUUUAAGUCGCUACAGCCUCUACUUGAGACAACAGGGUUUUGCAGGGAAUUCUUACAGGUUCGUUUCUGGCGACAAAAAAGAGCUCUUCACUAUAAGCAUACAAACAAGAGCCAAAACUAUGCCUCUUAGUGAUGAUAUUAGGCCUUAUGUUAUUCCUUUUCAACAUCAAACCGUCAACCGGUAUGGUAUGUUUUUUUUAUUUAAUCUGCAAUUUGUGAUAAUUCUUUGUUAUUUAUGUAUGGAAUUUAUUGGGAGGAAAUGCUGGAAAGAAUUCAUUUACGAGAAUUGGUCCAAGAUCAAGGGUGAACAUUACGGACCCUGAAAAAUAAGAGAAAUACUUAACAAAUUUAAUGACUUCCAGAAGAUACGUACCAAUCCACUGCUUAAUUUGCUUGUAAGCGGCCUUGUUAACCUCGAAGGAGACCGAUGGAGCAAGCAUAGAAAAAUCAUAACCCUUGCAUUUCAUCAAGAUAAGUUGAAGGUAUAGAAUAGUAAUGGGUACUCAAGACUUUAAAGAAAACAUCAUACUUAAGCCUAUGCUUUUCUGAUUUAGAAAUAAUUGGAUGCAGAAUAUGUUGCCAGCAUUUUAUCAAAGUUGUAGUGACAUGUUUAAGCAAAUGGGAGAAGAUGGUGUGUACAGAAGGAUACAUUGAGUUAGAUGUGUCGCCUUAUCUCGUAGAUUUGACAAGAGAUGUUAUUUCCCGAUCUGCUUUUGGAAGCAGCUUCGAAGAAGGCAAACGAAUUUUCCAAUUACUAGAGGACCAACUCGUUCUCACAAUCAAAUUAAUACAAACUGUUUACAUUCCAGGAUGGAGGUAACCGUCUACUUUAAUUUACUUGAAAAAGGUUGCAAAUGUUGGAAUUGGCUAAAUUCGUGUUUGUUUUCUUGAAGGUUUUUGCCCACAAAGACAAACAGGGAGGUGAAGAUGAAACACAAAGACAUAAAAGAGUCGCUCAGGGAAAUGAUAAAAAGAAGAAAGCAGGCAAUUAAAGCAGGGGAAGAGAGUAAUGAGGACUUGUUGGACAUACUUGUGGAAUCCAAUAUCAGAGAAAUGGAAGCAAAGAAUAUGGGGAUGAGCAUUGAGGAUGUGAUUGAGGAAUGCAAGCUGUUUUACUUAGCUGGCCAGGAGACCACUUCGGUCUUACUGGUGUGGACUAUGGUUUUAUUAGCAAGGUAUCCCGAUUGGCAAAGUAAAGCAAGAGAGGAGGUUUUGCAUGUUUUGGGUGACAGUAAACCUGAUGCUGAUGGCCUUAAUCGUCUCAAAGUUGUAAGUCCCUAGCAUGUCUCUUGAAGGCCCGAUCUCUGAGGUCGACAACUCAAAAACUUGGUUCUUUGUUUCGCUAAUUCUACAGUUAACAAUGAUAUUGUACGAGGUUCUAAGGCUGUACCCACCAGUGAUUGAGCUAGGACGUUCCGUUCCAAAAGAAAUAAAACUGGGAAAUUUGUUGUUACCAGCAGGAACAGACGUUUCGGUUCCAAUCCUGCAGAUCCACCAUGACAAAGAUCUUUGGGGCGACGCCGCACGGGAAUUUAAGCCACAGCGGUUCACGGAAGGGGUUUCCUAAGCAACAAAGAGUCAAGUCACGUUUCUGCCAUUCGGAUGGGGUCCUAGGAUCUGCAUUGGCCAAAACUUUGCCAUGAUGGAAGCUAAAAUGGCGAUGGCUAUGAUUCUCCAACGCUUCUGGUUUGAGCUUUCCCCUUCCUAUGCUUACUCUCCUUACAACAUGGCAACUCUUCGUCCACAGCAUGGUGCACAGAUAAUUUUACAUAAACUUGGCUGUAAUUGAAUUGUUAUGUAAGCAAAUCUUUGUGAAAAUAUAGUGUUUUAGUGUAUCGUCAACGUCUGUCUGUAAUGGUACAAUUCCGAUGCAUGAAUAGUAAAUUUUGAGAUGUUUGGUGAAGUCCGAAAUAAUAUGCAGAAAUUGAGUGUCUAUGGUGGACAUAGUUGAGGGACUAAUGUGGUAAUUAUCAAUCAAAUAAUUCGGUACAAAGACUUAUAUGGAAAUUAAAGCAGGGGGAGUUGAAAAUGACUACUCUGCUUUGGGCAUCAAUUUAGAAAGAUUUAAAGUACAAAUGUGUUAUUAGUUAAGGGAUUUGUUUUAAAGAGGGAAUGACAAUUAAACCUCAUGGUUGAUUUGUGGAAGGGAACCAAUGAUGGGAUGAUUACUCUUAGUGGUGAAAAAAAAACUAUUAAGGUGGUUAUUAUAGUUGUUAUCACCAGCCUAAAAUUUGAAUAGGUUCAGGUCGGAUUAUAUUGAGCUUGCAAGAUUAGUUCACGGACCAAACUUGCAUGAUAAUAGGUAUUCACAACAAGAUAUCUAUAGUUUCCAACAAAGUCACAUGUGAGAUCGUGCAUUAGAACCGCAUAAACAUGUUUUAUGUUUAGAAUAUGAUAUGUGUCUAUGUGUAUAGAAUCUACCUAAUAUAUCAUAUUAAUGAAUAGUAUCAAUUGCGGAGCCAAAAAAUUAUUUGUGAGGGGUCAGAAUUAAAUUGUAUAUUUUUACAAAAAUAAAAAUUAAAUUUCACUAUUUUAAUAGUUUAUUUAUUUUUAAUUUUUAAAUGAUUAAAUUAAAUUUUAUAAAUUUUUAGGAUCAAAGUAUAAUUUUAUCAUUACUAAUUUAAAAUUUUAUAAAUUAUAAAAAGUUUAUAUGAAAAGUUUUCUAUUUUAGGGUGGCCAAAGCCCCUGUCAACUUCUGACUCGAUCACUUGCGGUUAGUUGGGUAAAGACUCAAGAAAAAUAGCGGUGUGUUUGGAUGGACGGUGCGUUUACUUGCGGUUAGUGUAAAAAUAGCGGUGGCGGUGAGAUUAGAUACUAUAGCAACACUGUAGCGUGAGACAAAAAGUAAGUUAAACGCACUGCACUGCACUUAAUCGUCUAUCUAAACUCACCAUAAGUGUCUAAAAUAUGAUUUAAGUGAAGAUACGUGGGGUAGGUGUCAUGGAAAUGUAAAAAAAAAAAAGAAUCCUACUAAUGUAUGGGAUGUGUACAAUUGAAUGCAGGAGUGAAUCAUUUGGGUAACAUUUGGACAAGAAACAUAAUGAACAAAAUGAAAGGAGAGGAAGCUAGUAAUAAAAGAUUCUUUUGGGUUAUAUAAUUUGUUUGGCAUAUAUUUUUAUAAUAUUUAAAUAUCAUUUUGGAGUUGUUGAAUUAUAAUUUAUUUUUAUGUUUUAAAACAUAAUUAUUCUAUUUUUAGAGGUCAGAGUAGAGGUGAGCAUGAGUCGGGCUACUCGGCUCGGGCUGAAGGCUUGCGCAAAAUGUGAGAGAUUUGGGUAAAAAUAUAGGCCCGAAAAAUGAGUUUAGACAAAAAAAAAUAUAAGGCCCGUUGAAAAAACAGGCUAGGCCUUGGGUAAGGCAUUUUGGCCCCAGACCCGGCCCAACCCAAAUUCACUAAGGGCACGUUUGGUUCGCUGUAUUGGAAUAGAGGCGUAAUGUAAUAGAGGCGUAAUGGAAUAGAGACGUAAUAGCAAAUCAAUUGUUUGGUUGAAUGUAAUGGAAUAGAGGCGUAAUAGUAUUCUUAUAUUUGGUUGAAUGGAAUAGAGUUGUAAUAGCAUAAGGAAAAAAGUUAAAAUGACUAGAAUACCCUUAGCAGAAAUUUGUUUAGAUAAAUGAUUAUUGUUAUUGUUAUUAAAUUUUAAUAAGAUUAUUAAUAUCAGUAAUAAAUAAUUUAAUCAUAUUUUAACAUAAUUAUUAUUAAAUAUAAUUUAAUAAAAAUAUAUAAUUUAAUAAAAUUCUUAAUAUUAAAUAUUCUUAAUAUUAAAUUACUAAAAUCAUAAUAUAUAAUACUAUAAAAUAUAAUUUAACAUAAUUAUUAUUAAAUAUAAUUUAAUAAAAUUCUCAAUAUUAAAUAUAUUCUUAUAUGAAUUUACUAAAAUCAUAAUAUAUAAUACUAUAAAAUAUAAUUUAAAAUAAUUAUUAUUAAAUAUAAUUUAAUAAAAAUAUAUAAUUUAAUCUAAAGUUUGAAUGUGUAUUUACCUAGCAAAAAUCAAUGAACUCUCGUGUAACUAUAACCUUAAUAAUAUAUGAUGUAUAAUUAAUAUUUCGUGACUAAUUAAUAGCAUAGAGAUAAAUAUAGUAAUGACGAAUUUAUAGUAUACGAUUAAAAUGCUAAUAAUUUAUAGUAUACAAUUAAAAUAUUAUAAAUAAAAUAAUAGUAAAUGAUAUAUAAGAUAAAUUAACAUAUAAAUAAUUCAGAUAUGUAAAGGAUAUGGCUGAAUAUGGUUGCUCCAAUAAUAAAGGAUAUAUAAUAUAUCAUGGUGUUGUUUUGUUUAGAUAGUUCGGUAACUUAGGAGGGUAUGUAUGAAGAACACAAGUUGAUGCAGAUAGAAAGACGACAAUAUUACAUGAUUACAAUAUGAUAUAGUAUAUAUAUAUAAUUUAUGGAUUCCUUGCAAUCACGUGGGUUCUCUAGCCAUUUUAUUUAGCAUAUCCAGUGAUAUUAAGAUCCAGAAUUAUAAUACAACUAAAAUCUGUGCACACUUAUGGAUGAUCCAACAAAGCCUCAGUUGGCUUUAGGUUCCAAAUCUUGCAACCCACAAACCAUAUUUGCUGGCACUGCAACAUCAAUCAUCUUAGGAUAUGCCAAGUUAAGAUCUGUUGCACCAACAAAAACAGAGGAGAAAUUGGAAGGCGAUCCGAAAAAACCCAAGGAUGCUUUUUCUUUUCUUUUUUUUUUAUAAUCUUUAUAGACUGGUUAUAUUGAGCAUCAACUUACUUUCCAUGAUGUUUUUGAAAGUCUCUUACAAAAAGGGUAUUCAACAAAUAAUAUAAUCAGACAUAUUGAUAGGACAAAUUGAAACUAGUAUUCUAUGAUCAUAAUAAAGAGUAAUCUUUAAUCAAAUGCGUGAAGGUAUUGAGAUGUCAUGCUUUUUCAUGAUUUCCUGUUUUACCAUGGCGAUGUUCAUUGGAAUAGUCCCAUCCAAGAGAAUCAAACCAAUGCUCAGCAAGAAAUGUUCAAUGCAUAUGUAAUUUUAAUUACAGAAGUUAUAUGCAGCUUAUAUGAGUUCAAGAUCAUAAAAUACUUCAUGGACAAAAGGAAACCCUUUCUUAUCACUGAAAUGAAAAUAGGCACUCUUAAUUUUCUAUUGUCAAAAGUAGCAAGCCAUUUUCCAAAGAAAAGGGAAGAUGGAUGGUUCCAGAAAGAAUACCUCAUCCUUUGUCAAGUGUGGAUUAUAUAGCAUCUCCUCUCCCACAGUGGUUACCUAUAAUCAAUGAGGUUUAUAAAAUCGAGCAAUCAUUUAUAUAUGUAAGAAAUGAUAGGAAUAAAGUUUUAUAUCUUACUGAGAAUCCUUUGUAGUCAUGAGCUGGAUAUAGCAAUGUCUCUUUCGGUAAUGUAAAAAUCUGGAUCCAUGAAACAAAUAAGUCCAUAAAUUUUAUUCAAAUUUUGACAAUUACAAUAAAAUUUUGAGAACUCAAAGAAUGUGACCAUAAAAAGUCCCCUGUCCUUACCUGUGAAUGCACUGACUUGUAGAGUUGCUGUGAACUUCCACCCUGCAAAAUGCAUUAAUCAGUGCUAGUCAAUGGCUACUGAAUGUGGGAGCAUUAGAGAAAAUUAUCUUAAAAACUUAAGUAUAACAAAAUUAGACAAUGACAUCCAGAUGGAAAGAAAUUGCCAGCAUAUAAGACCAGCAUUUAUGUACUCACGACUGAAAAUCCUUUGCAAAAAGUAUAGCCCUGAUAGUUCAAACUUUUACUUCAAGGAUGAUUUAAUUACUGAUUAGUUUGCCAUGAGGCUUGUGAAUGACAAACACUUUAUGUGCAACCACAGUAACAAGGUAAGCACCAAUAAGUAGAAGACUAGACGAAUAGGUAACCAAGAGUUAGAGCUAAAACAGACAAACAGAGCUACUAUCCAAUGAGCUAAAACAUACAAACAGAGGUAUAUUUUAAUAAUGAAAAUAAUCGAUUGCCUUAAACACCAUAUAGUGUUCCAAUCAAUCAAAUUAUAGCAGGCAUUAAAACCUUUCCCUUUCGUUAAUUCACAACUAUUAGCUUCAUUAAUCAAAUCCUAUGUACAGUUGAUCGAUUGAAAGUGUAACAUUUCAAAGACGAAAUUUAAACGCAAAACUGGUUAACAUUGAAAUUACAUGUAAAUAUAACCUAAAAAAUCAAAAAAUUAAUCAUAUUUUCAGAUUUCAGGCCGAAAUGGAAUGAAAUGAAAGGUAAAUCCAUUUUUUCCCCAAAAAAACAAAAAUAAAGAAAUAAUAUUUCAAGAACAGAUCAUUAAAUUCAUGGUAUAUAUAAAGAAAUUUAAUUGAAAUCAAAGGAAUAGAAGAAGGGAAAAGCGUACUUGGAACCAUUGCUGCUACUCUCUGUUACUCUGUUACCUCAUACGAUUCGUUAAAGGGUUGUUAGGGUUUGUUAAAAGGUUGGUCAGGAUAGAAGCAUGAAAAGGAGGGAGAAGGUUGGAAGGAAAUGGGAAGAAAAAUGAAAAAAAGAAGAAGAUGCUGCAACGGCUUGGAGGGUAAAAGAGGACCGAUUAGGUAAUCCUUUCUUUUGGAAGGGAUUACAAAUCGGCGCUGCAUAAGGGAAAAUGGGGAAUCAGUGCGCUGCGUAAUAGGCCCGUAUUAAGGCAAUACAGCCAACCAAACAUGGUAAUCAGUGGGGCCACGAAUUAGGGGUGUAUUGGCUAAUCCAAUACACCCAACCAAACAUGCUCUAAAGGACAAAAAAAUUUGAUUUUUUAAAUAUUAUUUUCUCUCUAUUUUGCUAUCAUUUUACUAUUAUGUUGCUACUAUGUUAUUGUUAUUUUUGAAUAUUGUAUAAAACUUAUUUUAUUGUUAAUUUUGUUAUUAUUUUAAAGACAUUUGUUAAUUUUGUUAUUAUUUUAGAGACAUUUGUUUGUUAAGUUGCAUCUAUCUUAGUGUUAUUUAAGUAUACAUAUUUUUUAAAAUUUAUUUUCAAUUUAUUGGGAAAUAUUUAUUUUGAUGUUUUUAGUAUUUUGGAUGUAUUAUAUAUAUUAAAAUUAUAUAAAAAUUAAUAUGGCCGAGCCAGGUCAGGCCCAGAUUUUAGCAUUUUUAUUCAGGUCGGGCUUGAGCAAAAUUUUAAGCCCAUUUUUUGGGCCAAACCAGGCCUGGGCUUAGCAAAUGGGCCUAAAUUUUUAGUCAAGCUCGACCUAAACCCGAUCCGGCCCAUGCUCACCUCUAGAUCAGAGCUGCCCUCGCUUUGCAUUUCUUUGAGAUUCAGUCUUAUCUACUGUUGAUUGCCCACUCAAUGGAGGGUUGAGUAGAAAGAUUUGGUGAAGCAAGCUAAGCUAUCAAUCAAGGUUGGAGAAAGCUUAGGAGGUCACAAUGCAUAAUUAUUUAAAUGUAAUUCUAAUAUUUAAAUAAAAUUUAUUAAUAUAGUAUUAACAAGCCCUAAAUGUAAUGAUUAUAUACUAUUACAUUUUUAAGAAGAGAAAACAUGUUUGAACCUUAAAAACAUCAUUAUUAAAAAUGAUAAUUACAAAUUUUAAAAUAUAAAAAAUAUAAUUAAAAAUUAAUUUUAAACCCGAGCUGGAUAAAAUUCUAAUUUUAGAUAACGAUACUAAUAAGAAAUCAAUAUUAAAAUGAAAAUGAAAAGUAAUUUAAUAUAAUUUUUGAGUCUUGGGCAAAGGCACUCAAUGAAUGCUUGGAAAGAAAUAAUGCAACUUGGUGAUAGCUUUUGUUGGAGUAAUAUGCUCUUAUUAUAGUUUUAUGUUUUUAUCUUGCAAAAACAACAUAUUGGAGUUUUCGGCAUGAUUUUUUCUUAAUACUUUACAUGAAAAAUAAUAAUGGGACUUAAAUUGCUACAAUAUUACAACACAAAGUUACAAUAAGAGCUUAUAACUCAACAAAGGCUAUCAAUAAAUAAUCUCAGGCAAGCUAAAGAGAAAUGUUGAGAAUACCACCCGAAUAGUGACUGACUUUAAAAGUUGAAAACCCGAAGCUAUAUUAUCUCAAACGAAAUCAAACCAUAAACAUUAAAAUUUUCAAGUCUACUAGUUACUGUAAAAAAUUCAGCUCCAACAGACACCAAAUGAGCCUUUGAUCGAAGAAAGUACGAAAAAUAGUCUAGGUAAACCAAGCUUCCAAACUUACUUAUCUUAUCUUUAAUUUGCAGUGAAAUUCAAAAUUAAGAUUUUGUUUAUUUCACUUGGAACAACUUUCAAAAAAUUAUUUUUGAAAAAUGAAUUGGUUUUUCGAAAUAGAUGAUAUUUUAUUGUGUCAAAAUUUUAUUCAUUGUAGGAAAACUUUUUUUAAAUCAUUUUCUUAGAGUUAUUUUUAGUUAAAUAAACAUAACAUAAAUAUAUUUGUUACAAAAAAUUAUACUAGUAUUUUCUUUUGACAAUUAAAAUUUAUUUUAUGGUAAGACAAUAUUUUAUAAUAAUUAAUAUCAUAUAUAUACGUAAUAAAAAUCAUGUUUAAUUAAAAUUUAAUUAAAAUUAGAUGUAUUAAUAAAGCUACUCCUCCACAACCCGCAUCCGCAACAGCACCAGCACCAGCACCAGCACCAGCAUCAGCACCAUGGGACAACUAUUGGGUUUCCUCCACCUGCCUCUAUCGCUCCUCCUCAGUAUUACCCCCAAGCCUACCAGACCGUGCCGGGUAUUCUACAAAUAUGAAAAAACCUUCUUCUCUUUUUAUUAGCUUAUCGAAAUGAAGGAUUUUGAGAUUUGGGCUUUUGUUAGAUGGAUGGUUAAUGAUAUUUUUUAGAUGAAAGAUACAAGUUUUUUAAUGUUUUAGAAGAAAAGGUGUUUAAAUAUUAGGAGUUUUUUAGCAGAGAAAGAAGAUAAAUAAAUGCAUAGAGAUACAUUAGCAAUAUUAUUUGGAUUUGGUUGUCUAAUGUAAUGAAGAAUUUUUUAAGGGUGACCUGAGUAGGUGUGGCAAGAUUCAAAGUUUUUUCUAUUAUAGCAGAUAUAUAUAUAUUAAUGGUUUAAGAAGACUAGAAGUCGGUUUCAAAGGAAGAUGAGAAAUAAAAGCAUUUAUAUAUAUGAUAUGUCAUUAAUUCAUAAACCAAAUAUAUAAAGUAUGUAAAAGUGUCAGGGGUUAAUCAUGGUGUUUUGACAAUCCGGUAACCUUCAACUUGAAGAAAACCUUAGGUUUCAAAAAUUUAUGUGAAGAGUUAGAAUGGUAUGCUUCAUGGAUCUGAAUAACUAGAACAGUGUAAGAGUGGUAUAUUGUGUCAAGUUUGGUUUCUUGUAUAUAAUUGUAUCGAAAACAAUGUUACAUGAGUUAAAAUGAAUGUUCAUCCAAUUUAACAAAGCCUGCAUUAUGUUGAUCAAAAUUUUUAAUUCAUGUUGAGGUUUCUUCCGUGAUAUCUUUGAUGUCAAGGUUAUGAUGUUGCUGAAGGGACACCUGUAAGAGAUAAGCCACCGUGCUGUGGCAUUGGAUUCGGAUGGUUCUUGUAAGUGUACAUAGUUUUCUUUGUUUUUAAAGAGUUCUUUACAUAUGAAGUAAAACAAGUAGCGACUUGAUGGAUAUGUCAUUAAGCUUUAACUUAAGCAAAUCAUUUUCCUUCAUCUCUAAUUGCCAUUUCUUUAAAAGAAAAAGAGGAAGUUUUGUAGUUUACAGUUUGGACAAAUGGAAGUUAAUAUAAUGCACUAUUUGGAUGGACUAUGGAGAUAUCCAAUCAUAUUGGAUGAGUUAUAAGAAACCUGUGAGUUCAUAUUGGGUUUACUUUAUAUCAUAAUUAGAUUGUUGAGCUGGCUGUCAUACUUAGAUGGUAUUUCACGUUGCUACUUGUUAAACUAUACCACUUUCACAUUCAUACGUGAAAUGGCUGGGAUUUAGUGCCAUUCUACUUAGCAGCCUCGUGUAAUACACAGGUGAAAUGUUUAUGUCUUCAUGUCACCUUAAAGUUCCCAUUUCCAUGACGGUAUUGUUAAGUAAAGACUGGUACAUACCCCAAAAUACGGAAAUUGUUUUGGAUGUAUACUAUACUUUACCAUGCAUGAUUUUUUACAAGUUUGCAUGGUAUUUUAUCAUUAUAUUGGUCUUUAUUUUCUAUACUCGCAGCUUCCAUUAAUAUAUUUUUAUGAAUUUUAUCAUUAUGCUGGUUUGAAGGUUCAUCAUUGGUUUCUUCAUUGGGGGCCAUCCCUGGUAUAUUGGAUUCUUUGUUUUACUUUGUGCAAGGAUAGACGACAGAGAGAAAGCAGGAUAUAUUGCAUGCACAAUUGCCGUGAGUAUCUUUUCUAUCAUUAUUUUUUUCUUUUCCAAUUUUAUGAAAGCCAUCCUUCCUGCCUUGUAUUGAUCAUCAAUUUAACCAUUAUAUAUAUGUAUCUUAUGUAUUUGUACCAUGCUUUAUCUUCAAUGCAAAUAUAAGUUAAACUACAAAGAUUGGAUUGUUAAAAAAAGUUUAAAAUGUUAAAAAAAUUGAAAAUUUUGAUUUUGUAAGAAUGAUAGAAAACCAAGGCCAGUGCUUGCAUAUGUUAUCUACUACAUGCACAAUCGGGUCGAUGUCUGUAUAUGUUUCAUGUUUAGAAAUCGUGUUCAAUUGGGUUACGAUAUGUACAAUUGAAGUGUCAAUUUAUAAUUUCCUUAUCAAGAUUACACAUUUUUUUGUUAAUAUUCGGAAUCACUCAAUGGUUAUAAACCCUGAUUGGAUACUGUCCACAAAGUCUAGUUGGAACAUCCCUUGUAUUCUUUGUCCUUUCUAAGAACUUUCCUUUCCAUCAUUCUCGCUUCUGUUUUUUUUUUCUUCCCUCUACUUUAAGUCAUUAUCUAACGUAGAUAUCCCUUGUAUUCUUUGUCCUUUCUAUGGCAAUCGAGUCAAUUGAUGGCAAGCCAAAAAAACAAAAAGAGCAGCUAUCCUGUCUUACUCGAUUGCCAUCCCUCCUGUUAAACACCAUUAAGAAAAGGAAAAUUUUAGUUAAGCUUUAAAACAGCCAUGUUUUAACGAUGUUGGUGAUGGUGCUUGUGCAGGCCCUUCUUGCUACAAUUACAAUUAUUCUUAGUGCAACAAUUAAAGCUGGUGGGUGAUAAAGCACACCUCUUUUGACUGAGAGAUGUAUAGGUUCCCAAAUAAUAUGUAUAUGCUCCCCCCCCUCCCUUUAUUUUAUUUUAUUUCCAGUAAGUUAUUGUUUAUGAUAAUUUGCAACAAAUGUUUUUGUCAUUAUUUUGUUGGUGAAUGAUAAUAAGAUUAAGCUUUACUUUCUUAAGCUCCAAUUCCUUGGACGUUGGUGAUUUUUUUAUUAUAGUUGAGUCAUUGUAUGGUAUUAAUAUAAUUUAUGUCGCUUAAAAUUUAUAACUAAAAAUAUAAAAUUUAAAUUUUACUUCAAUUUAUUUGUAUUUAUAAAUGGUUAAUUCAAACUUAUUUUUUUCCUCAUUAUAUUUUAUAUUUAAAUUAACAUUUAAACUAUUUUUCAUUAGCAAUGUUGUUAAGAAUUAUAUUUUUUAGCACCAACAUCAAACUUACUAAAAUUAAAUUUUUAACUAUUUAAAAAAAAUAUUUUUAGCUAUUUAUCAUCAUAGAGAAAAAAAGGUGACGUCACCACGCCUCAUGCUUCGACACCACAAACUAGACUCUCAUCACCCGUAUUUAUCAUCGAUUCAAAUUCCAGAACUACCUAAAAAUAUAUCUUCAAACUUCCUCUGGUUAAGUUCAUUGAUAGUCAACUUACUAUCAUUUCUAAAAAAAAAACAAAUAAAUUGGUUAAUAGUAAUCUCAAUGAUUCAAUUUUAUUCUUACCAGUAUCUGUCCUUUAGAAAGGGGCUUAUAAAAGGGGUAGAGGUGAGUAAACUUGAGCUUCAGCUUUCCACAAACACCUUAAUUUGAAGACACAGUUCUCUCAUACUAAAAAAGACAUGGAAGUUUACCUUGUAAUUAGAGAUUUGGUUUCAUUGCUUGUUGUUGGGUUAUUAAUGAUAUGGGGAUGCAGAACUUUAAACUGGGUAUGGCUGGCCCCAAAAAGGCUCGAAAGCUGCUUGAGACAACAGGGUUUUGCAGGGAAUCCUUACAGGUUCCUUUCUGGUGACAUAAAAGAGCUCUCAACUAUGAGCAGACAAACAAGAGCCAAACCUAUGCCUCUUAGUGAUGAUAUUGGGCCUUAUGUUGUUCCUUUUCAACAUCAAACUGCUAACCAGUAUGGUAUGUUUUUUUUGUUUAAUCUGCAAUUUAUGAUAAUUCUUUGUUAUUUAUGUAUGGAAUUUAUUGGGAGGAAAUGCAGGAAAGAAUUCAUUUACGUGGUUUGGUCCAAGACCAAGGGUGAACAUUACGGACCCUGAAAAAAUAAGAGAAAUACUUAACAAAUUUAAUGACUUCCAGAAGAUACAUACCAAUCCACUGCUUAAUUUGCUUGUAAGCGGCCUUGCUAACCUCGACGGAGACCGAUGGAGCAAGCGUAGAAAAAUCAUAAACCCUGCAUUUCAUCAAGAUAAGUUGAAGGUAUAGAAUAGUGAUGGGUAAUCAGACUUUACAGAAAACAUCAUACUUAAACCUAUGCUUUUCUGAUUUAGAAAUAAUUGGAUGCAGAAUAUGUUGCCAGCAUUUUAUCAAAGUUGUAGUGACAUGUUAAGCAAAUGGGAGAAGAUGGUGUGUACAAAAGGAUACAGUGAGUUAGAUGUGUGGCCUUAUCUCGUAGAUUUGACAAGAGAUGUGAUUUCCCGAUCUGCUUUUGGAAGCAGCUUCGAAGAAGGCAAACGAAUUUUCCAAUUACUAGAGGACCAACUCGUUCACAUAAUCAAAUUAAUACAAACUGUUUACAUUCCAGGAUGGAGGUAACCGUCAACUUAAUUUACUUGAAAAAGGUUGCAAAUGUUGGAAUUCGCUAAAUUCGUGUUUGUUUUCUUGAAGGUUUUUGCCAACGAAGACAAACAGGGAGAUGAAGAUGAAACACAGGGACAUAAAAGAGUUGCUUAUGGAAAUGAUAAAGAGAAGGGAGAAGGCAAUUAAAGCAGGGGAAGAGAGCAAUGAGGACUUGUUGGACAUACUUGUGGAAUCCAAUAUCAGAGAAAUGGAAGCAAAGAAUAUUGGGAUGAGCAUUGAGGAUGUGAUUGAGGAAUGCAAGCUGUUUUACUUAGCUGGCCAAGAGACCACUUCGGUCUUACUGGUGUGGACUAUGGUUUUAUUAGCAAGGUAUCCCGAUUGGCAAAGUAAAGCAAGAGAGGAGGUUUUGCAUGUUUUGGGUGACAGUAAACCUGACGCUGAUGGCCUUAAUCGUCUCAAAGUUGUAAGUCCCUAGCAUGUCUUUUGAAGGUCCGAUCAAUGAGGUCGACAACUCAAAAACUUUGUUUCUUUUUUCGCUAAUUCUACAGGUAACAAUGAUAUUGUACGAGGUUCUAAGGCUGUACCCACCGGUGGUUGAGCUAGAACGUUCCGUUCCAAAAGAAAUAAAACUGGGGAAUUUGUUGUUACCAGUAGGAACAGAAGUUUCGGUUCCGAUCCUGCUGAUCCACCAUGACAAAGAUCUUUGGGGCGAUGACGCACGGGAAUUUAAGCCAGAGCGGUUCGCGGAAGGGGUUUCCAAAGCAACAAAGAGUCAAGUCACGUUUCUGCCAUUCGGAUGGGGUCCUAGGAUCUGUAUUGGCCAAAAUUUUGCUAUGAUGGAAGCCAAAAUGGCGAUGGCUAUGAUUCUCCAACGCUUCUGGUUCGAGCUUUCCCCUUCCUAUGCUCACUCUCCUUACGGCAGGGCAACUCUUCGUCCACAGCAUGGUGCACAGAUAAUUUUACAUAAACUUGGCUGUAAUUGAAUUGUUAUGUAAACAAAUCUUUGUGAAAACAUAGCGUUUUAGUUUAUCGUCAAAGUCCGGUGUCUGUAAUGGUACAAAUUCGAUGCAUGAAUAGUAAAGUUUGAGAUGUUUGGUGAAGUCCGAAAUAAUAUGCAGAAAUUGAGUGUGGUAAUUAUCAAUCAAAUAAUUCGGUACAAAGACUUACAUGGAAAUUAAAGCAGGGGGAGUUGAAAAUGACUACUCUGCUUUGGGCAUCAAUUUAGAAAGAUUUAAAGUACAAAUGUGUUAUUAGUUAAGGGAUUUGUUUUAAAGAGGGAAUGACAAUUAAACCUCAUGGUUGAUUUGUGGAAGGGAACCGAUGAUGGGAUGAUUAUUCUUAGUGGUAAAAAAAACUAUUGUGGAGGUUAUUAUACUUGUUAUCAUCGGCUUAAAAUUCGAAUGGGUUCAAGUCGGAUUAUAUCGAGCUUGUAAGAUGAGUUCACGGAUCAAAUUUGCAUAAUAAAAAUACUUAAAUGAAAAAAAUUUCUAUUUUAGAGGGACCAGAGCCCCUACCAAUUCCCGGCUCAGCUACUAAACAAUACCCAUAUCAUAUAAAUAAAUACCACCAUAAAAAAAACUCAAAGAAAAACACUGACAAAUGAUAAAUAGAUAGAUGUUGGAUAAGUGUCCAAAAUAUGAUUUAAGUGAAGAUACAUGGGGUAGGUGUCACGGAAAUGUGAAUACAAGAAUACUACUAAUGGGAUGUGUACAGUUGAAUGUAGGGAGCAAAAAGAGGAGUGAAUCAUUUUGGUAACAUUGGGACAAGAAACAUAAUGAACAAAAUGGAAGGAGAGGAAGCUAGUAAAAGAAAUUUUUUGGGUCAUAUAAUUUGUUUGGCAUAUAUUUUUAUAAUUUUUAAAUAUCAUUUUGGACUUGAAUUAUAAUUUUUUUAUAUAUUAUCUUAAAAUUGUAUAAAUUUUAAGGAGUUAAAACAAAAUUAUUCUAUUUUUAGAUGGUUAAAGUAGAGAUGAUAAUGGGUUGAGCUAUUCGGCCCAGCCUGACGAUCCACCCGAAAAAUAGGAAGGUUUGGGUAAAAAUAUAGGCUUGAAAUAUGAAUUUGAGCAAAAAAAGAGGCCCGUUUAGAAAAUGGGCCGAGCCUCGGGUAAAACCUUUUGGGUCUAGACCUGACCUAAAUUAUAUAUUAAAUAUAUAUAUUUUUAUUUUUAAUCAAAUAUACUUUUGUUUUAUUAUUAAUUUGGUUAUUAUUUUAGUUCUAAUUUGUUUCAAUUUUAAUAUAACUACUUUUUAUUAUAUUUUCAAUUUGUGCAUUGUUUUAAGAAUUAUUUUAGUCUCAUUAUUUAUUUAUUUUUUAUUUUAAUAUUUGUUUUAAAAUUUUUUAUUUAUUGAAAUAAGCUAAAAAAAUUAAUAUGGGUUGGACCAGACCGGGCUCGGGCCUAGUAAUUUUCUUUUGGGCCGGACUUAAACAAAUUUUUAAGCCCAUAUUUUGAAUUGGGUCCUACACUAGAAAAUGGACCUAAAAUUUUGUAUUACCUUUAGGUCAGAGCUAUCCUCGUUUUGCAUUUCUUUGAGAUUCAGCCUUAUUUACUUUUGAUUGCCCACUCAAUAGAGGGUUGAGUAGAAAUAUUUGGUGAAGCAAGCUAAGCUAUCAAUCAAGGUGUGCAUAAUUAUUUAAAUGUAAUUCUAAUAUUAAAAUAAAAUUUUUAUUAAUAUAGUAUCAACAAGCAUUAAAUGUAAUCAUCAUAUACUAUUAAAUUUUCAAUAAGAGAAAACAAGCUUGAACUUUAAAAACGAUGUUACUAAAAACAUUAUCACAAAUCUUGAAAUAUAAAAAAUACUUUUUAAUAUAAUAAAAAAAUAAUUUUAAAACCGAGAUGAAUAAAAUUCUAAUUUUAAUUAAUGAUACCAACAACAAAUCAAUAUUUAAAUUAAAAUUUAUCUUAAUUUAAUAUAAUAAAAUUGGACUUGAAUAUUGAAUUUUUGAGUCUUGGGCAAAGUAGAGGUGCUCAUGGGCCGGGUUGGGUCGGGUUUGGGAAAAAUUUCGGCCCGCAUCCUAGGCUCGGGCUCGGCCCGACCCAAAUAUGGGCCUAAAAUUUUGUCUAGGCCUAGCCCGGCCCGGCCCAACUCAUUUUUUUUAAUAAACACCAAAAAUUUAUUUUGAAAAUAAAAAAAUAAAAAAAGUAUUUUAAAAAUAUUUUAAAAUUUUUAAAAAAUAUAUAUAUUUAUUAUAUAUUCGGGCCGGGCCAGGCCCGAGCCAAAAAAGUGGCGCCCAAGGCCCGGCCUGUUUUCUAAACGGGACUCAUUUUUUACCCAAACCCAUAUUUCGGGCCUAUAUUUCUACCCGAAUCUCUCAUAUUUAGGGCGAACCGUCGGGCCGGACCGGGCCGCCCGGCCAUGAACACCUCUAGGACAAAGUCACUCAAUGAAUGCAUGGAAAGAAAUAAUGCAACUUGGUGAUAGCUUUUGUUGGAGUUAUAUGCUUUUUUUUUACGUAGUGGAACUUUCGGUGGAUUUUCAAGUUUCAUGAACUUUAUACUCUAUGCUUUACGUGAAAAAAAAAAUUCAUUGGACUUAAAAGUCUACCAAAAGUUUCACUAAAAAAAAAACCAUUGCUACAAGAUUACAACAUAAAGUUACAAUAAGAGCUUAUAACUCAACAAAGGCUAUCAAUAAAUAAUCUCAAACAAAUUAAAGAGAAAUGUUGAGAGUACCACUCGAAUAGUGAUUAACUUUAAAAAUUGAAAACCCAAAGUUAUAAUAUCCCAAACGAAAUCAAACCAUAAACAUUAAAUUUUUCGAGUCUACUAGAUACUGCAAAAAAUUCAGCUCCAACAGACACCAAAUGAACCUAUGAUCGAAGAAAAUACGAAAACUAGUCUAGCUAAAUCAAGCUGCCAAACUUACUUUUUAUCUUAUCUUUAAUUUGCUGUGAAAUUCAAAACUAAGGUUUUGUACUUAGAACAACUUUCAAAAAGUUAAUUUUGAAAAAUGGAUUGAAUUUUCAAAAUAGAUGAUAUUUUAUUGUGUUAAAAUUUUAUUCGUUGUUUGAAAAAAAAUUUAAAUCAUUUUCUUAGAAUUAUUUUUAGUGAAACAAACAUAUCAUAAAUAUAUUUGUUAUAAAAUAUUUAUAUUAAUAUUUUCUUUUAACAAUUAAAAUAUAUUUUGUGAUAAGGUAUAUUUUAUAAUAAUUAAUAUCAUAUAUACUUAAUAAUAAAUCAUGUCUAAUUAAAAUUUAAUUUCAAUUAAAUAUAUUAAUAAAGCUACAUAUAAUCAUAUUUUAUAUAAUAAAAAUAUUAAUAUAAAUAUUUUUUUAAUAAUAUAUUAAAGAAUAUUUAAAAUUUAAAUUUAUUAUUACUAAGAUUAAUUAUUAAAAUAAAAAUGUAAUGUUAAAUAAUUUAUCCAAUGAUAAGUUAUAUUAAUAAUUUAUUAUAUUAUUAAAUAUAAAUAAUUAAAUAUGUAUGUUUAAUAAUAUUAUGUUAUAAUAUUUAUUAUUAAUAUUUUAAUAUUUUUAAACAACCAUGUUUUAAAGAUGGUGGUGAUGGUGAUGGUGCAGGCCCCCUUGUUACAAUUACAAUAUUUUUAAGUGGGAUGCAUGUAAUAUAUUGUUAGGGUUUUAGAGUGUGUGGUCUUUAAAAGGGUUAAAUUAUAUAUUUAUAUAAUAUGAUUAUUGUUUAUAAAUAUAAUAUUGUAGAUAAACUUUUAUGCAUGUCAAUAUGUAUCCUACUCUGGGGUUAAUAUGUAUUUUUAGAUAUGGAUUCACCUAUAUAAUAGUAUGAAUCCAUCAUGCGGUCUCAUGAAAUAUACAAACACAUAUCGUGCGAACACAAAGUACGAACAAUAAAAAGUACAAAUCAAGACCAAUUGAGUAAUUGAAUAGCAGAUAGGUAAUAAUGACUAUCCCCUCUUGUUUGAAUUUAUUUUAUUUCCAGUGAGUUAUCGUUUAUGAUAAAUUUACAACAAAUGUUUUUAUCAUUAUUUUGUUGGUAAAUGAUAAUAAGAUUAAACUUUACUUUCUUAAGCUCCUUCAAUUCUUUGGACGUUAGCAAGUAAACUUGAGCUUCAGCAUUCCACAAACACCUUAAUUUGAAGACACAGUUCUCCCAUACUAAAAACAACAUGGACGUUUACCUUGUAAUUAGAGAUUUGGGCUCAUUGUUAGGUUAUUAAUGAUACGGGGAUGGAGAGCUUUAAACUGGGUAUGGCUGGCCCCAAAGAGGCUCGAAACGUGCUUGAGACUAGAGGUCCAGGCAAAUUUUUAGGCCCAUUUUUUAGGCCUGGACUGGGCCCGACUCGAAAUAUGAGCUUAAAAAUUUGUCUAAGUUCGGUCCAAAAGAAAAUUGUUAAGCCUAAGCCCGGCCCAUAUUAAAUUUUACAACACCAAAAAACUAUAUAUUUAAUAUAUAUAUUUGAUUAAAAAGUAUAUUUAAUUAAAAAUAAAAAUAUAUAUUUAAUAUAUAAUUCGGGCCGGGCCGAACUCGGGCCAAAAAAGUUUUACUCGGGGCUGGUCCGUUUUCUAAACAGACCUCGUUUUUUUGUCAAAAUCCAUAUUUUAGGCUUAUAUUUUUACCCGAAACUUCCUAUUUUUCGGGUGAACCGUCAGGCCGGACUAGGUAGCCCAACCAAUGAUCACCUCUACUUGAGACAACAGGGUUUUGCAGGGAAUUCUUACAGGUUCGUUUCUGGCGACAUAAAAGAGCUCUUCACUAUAAGCAUACAAACAAGAGCCAAACCUAUGCCUCUUAGUGAUGAUAUUGGGCCUUAUGUUGUUCCUUUUCAACAUCAAACCGUCAAUCAGUAUGGUAUGUUUUUUAAUUUAAUCUGCAAUUUAUGAUAAUUCUUUGCUAUUUAUGUAUGGAAUUUAUUGGGAGGAAAUGCUGGGAAGAAUUCAUUUACGUGGAUUGGUCCAAGAUCAAGGGUGAACAUUACGGACCCGGAAAAAUAAGAGAAAUACUUAACAAAUUUAAUGACUUCCAGAAGGUACGUACCAAUCCACUGCUUAAUUUGCUUGUAAGCGGCCUUGUUAACCUCGAAGGAGACCGAUGGAGCAAGCAUAGAAAAAUCAUAACCCUUCAUUUCAUCAAGAUAAGUUGAAGGUAUAGAAUAGUGAUGGGUACUUAGACUUAAUUUACAGAAAACAUCAUACUUAAAUCUAUGCUUUUCUGAUUUAGAAAUGAUUGGAUGCAGAAUAUGUUGCCAGCAUUUUAUCAAAGUUGUUGUGACAUGUUAAGCAAAUGGGAGAAGAUGGUGUGUACAGAAGGAUACAGUGAGUUAGAUGUGUGGCCUUAUCUUGUAGAUUUGACAAGAGAUGUGAUUUCCCGAUCUGCUUUUGGAAGCAGCUUCGAAGAAGGCAGACGAAUUUUCCAAUUACUAGAGGACCAACUCGUUCUCACAAUCAAAUUAAUACAAACUGUUUACAUUCCAGGAUGGAGGUAACCCUCAACUUAAUUUACUUGAAAAAGGUUGCAAAUGUUGGAAUUGGCUAAAUUCGUGUUUGUUUUCUUGAAGGUUUUUGCCAACAAAGACAAACAGGGAGAUGAAGAUGAAACACAGACAUAAAAGAGUCGCUUAGGGAAAUGAUAAAGAGAAGGGAGAAGGCAAUUAAAGCAGGGGAAGAGAGCAAUGAGGACUUGUUGGACAUACUUGUGGAAUCCAAUAUCAGAGAAAUGGAAGCAAAGAAAAAGGGGAUGAGCAUUGAGGAUGUGAUUGAGGAAUGCAAGCUGUUUUACUUUGCUGGCCAGGAGACCACUUCGGUCUUGCUGGUGUGGACUAUGGUUUUAUUAGCAAGGUAUCCCGAUUGGCAAAGUAAAGCAAGAGAGGAGGUUUUGCAUGUUUUGGGUGACAGUAAACCUGAUGCUGAUGGCCUUAAUCGUCUCAAAGUUGUAAGUCCCUAGCAUGUCUCUUGAAGGUCCGAUCUCUGAGGUCGACAACUCAAAAACUUGGUUUCUUUGUUUCGCUAAUUCUACAGUUAACAAUGAUAUUGUACGAGGUUCUAAGGCUGUACCCACCAGUGAUUGAGCUAGGACGUUCCGUUCCAAAAGAAAUAAAACUGGGAAAUUUGUUGUUACCAGCAGGAACAGACGUUUCGGUUCCAAUCCUGCAGAUCCACCAUGACAAAGAUCUUUAGGGCGACGACGCACGGGAAUUUAAGCCACAGCGGUUCACGGAAGGGGUUUCCUAAGCAACAAAGAGUCAAGUCACGUUUCUGCCAUUCGGAUGGGGUCCUAGGAUCUGCAUUGGCCAAAACUUUGCCAUGAUGGGAACCAAAAUGGCGAUGGCUAUGAUUCUCCAACGCUUCUGGUUCGAGCUUUCCUCUUCCUAUGCUUACUCUCCUUACAACAUGGCAACUCUUCGUCCACAGCAUGGUGCACAGAUAAUUUUACAAAAACUUGGCUGUAAUUGAAUUGUUAUGUAAACAAAUCUUUGUGAAAAUAUAGUGUUUUAGUGUAUCGUCAAAGUCUGCCUGUAAUGGUACAAUUCCGAUGCAUGAAUAGUAAAUCUUGAGAUGUUUGGUGAAGUCCGAAAUAAUAUGCAGAAAUUGAGUGUCUUGAAUGGAUGUAGUAUUUAAUGGUGGACAUAGUUGAGGGACUAAUGUGGUAAUUAUCAAACAAAUAAUUGCAUAUGGUACAAAGACUUGUAUGGAAAUUAGAGCAGGGCGAGUUGAAAAUUACUACUUUGCUUCGGGCAUCAAUUUAGAAAGAUUUAAAGUACAAAUGUAUUAUUAGUUUAAGGGAUUUGUUUUAAAGAAGGAAUGACAAUUAAACCUCAUGGUUGAUGUGUGGAAGGGAACCAAUGAUGGGAUGAUUACUCUUAGUGGUAAAAAAAAAAACUAUUAAGGUGGUUAUUAUAGUUGUUAUCACCGGCCCAAAAUUCGAAUAGGUUCAGGUCGGAUUAUAUUGAGCUUGUAGAUGAGUUUGCAUGAUAAUAGGUGUUCACAGAAAGAUAUCUAUAGUUUCCUACAAAGUCACAUGUGAGAUCGUGCAUUGGGACCGCAUAAAAAUGUUUUAUGUUUAGAAUAUGAUACGUGUCUAUGUGUAUGGAAUCUACCUAAUAUAUCAUAUUAAUUAAUAGUAUCAAUUGCGGAGCCAAAAAAUUAUUUCUGAGGGGUCAGAAUUAAAUUGUAUAUUUUUACAAAAAUAAAAAUUAAAUUUCACUAUUUUAAUAGUUUAUUUCUUUUUAAUUUUUAAAUGAUUAAAUUAAAUUUUUAUAAAUUUUUGGGAUCAAAGUACAAUUUUAUCAUUUCUAAUUUAAAAUUUUAUAAAAUAUAAAAAGUUUAUAUGAAAAGUUUUCUAUUUUAGAGUGGCCAAAGCCCCUGCCAACUUCCGACUCGAUCACUAAACAAUAUAAAUAAAUAAAUACCACCAUCUAAAAGACUCAAGAAAAACACUCAACGAUAAAUAGAUAGAUGUUGGGUAAAGAUACGUUUGGAUGGGCGGUGCGUUUACUUGCGGUUAGUAUAAAAAUAGCGGUGGCGGUUAGAUUAGAUACUAUAGCAACACUGUAGCGUAAGACAAAAAAUAAGCUAAACGUACUGCACUGCACUUAAUCGCCCAUCCAAACUCACCCUAAGUGUACAAAAUAUGAUUUAAGUGAAGAUACGUAGGGUAGGUGUCAUGGAAAUGUAAAAGACAAGAAUCCCACUAAUGUAUGGGAUGUGUACAGCUGAAUGUAGGGAGCAAAGAGGAGUGAAUCAUUUUGGUAACAUUUGGACAAGAAACAUAAUGAACAAAAUGAAAGGAGAGGAAGCUAGUAAAAGAUUUUUUUGAGUUAUAUAAUUUGUUUGGCAUAUAUUUUUAUAAUUUUUAAAUAUCAUUUUGGAGUUGAAUUAUAAUUUCUUUUUAUGUUUUAAAACAUAAUUAUUCUAUCUUCAAAGGGUUAGAGUAGAGGUGAGCAUGGGUCGGGCUACUCGGCCCGAAAUGUGAGAGAUUUGGGCAAAAAUAUAGGCUCAAAAAAUGGACUUGGACAAAAAAAUAUAAGACCCGUUGAAAAAUGGGCCGGGCAUUGGGUAAGGCAUUUUUGGCCCUGGGCCCGGCCCAAUCCUAAUUCACUAAAGGACAAAAAAAAUUUGAUUUUUAAAUAUUAUUUUCUUCCUAUUUUGCUACCAUUUUACUAUUAUGUUGCUACUAUUUUGUUGUUAUUUUUUGGAUAUUGUAUAAAACUUAUUUUAUUGUUAAUUUUGUUAUUAUUUUAAAGACAUUUGUUAAUUUUGUUAUUAUUUUAGAGACAUUUGCUUGUUAAGUUGUAUCUAUCUUAGUGUUAUUUAAGUGUACAUAUUUUUUAAAAUUUAUUUUCAAUUUAUUGGGAAAUAUUUAUUUUGAUGUUUUUAGUAUUUUGGAUGUAUUAUAUAUAUUAAAAUUAUAUAAAAAUUAAUAUGGCCGAGCCGAGUCAGGCCCAGAUUUUAGCAUUUUUAUUCAGGUCGGGCUUGAGCAAAAUUUUAAGCCCAUUUUUUGGGCCAAACCAGGCCUGGGCUUAGCAAAUGGGCCUAAAUUUUUAGUCAAGCCCGACCUAAACCCGAUCCGGCCCAUGCUCACCUCUAGAUCAGAGCUGCCCUCGCUUUGCAUUUCUUUGAGAUUCAGUCUUAUCUACUGUUGAUUGCCCACUCAAUGGAGGGUUGAGUAGAAAGAUUUGGUGAAGCAAGCUAAGCUAUCAAUCAAGGUUGGAGAAAGCUUAGGAGGUCACAAUGCAUAAUUAUUUAAAUGUAAUUCUAAUAUUUAAAUAAAAUUUAUUAAUAUAGUAUUAACAAGCCCUAAAUGUAAUGAGUAUAUACUAUUACAUUUUUAAGAAGAGAAAACAUGUUUGAACCUUAAAAACAUCAUUAUUAAAAAUGAUAAUUACAAAUUUUAAAAUAUAAAAAAUAUAAUUAAAAAUUAAUUUUAAACCCGAGCUGGAUAAAAUUCUAAUUUUAGAUAACGAUACUAAUAAGAAAUCAAUAUUAAAAUGAAAAUGAAAAGUAAUUUAAUAUAAUUUUUGAGUCUUGGGCAAAGGCACUCAAUGAAUGCUUGGAAAGAAAUAAUGCAACUUGGUGAUAGCUUUUGUUGGAGUAGUAUGCUCUUAUUAUAGUUUUAUGUUUUUAUCUUGCAAAAACAACAUAUUGGAGUUUUCGGCAUGAUUUUUUCUUAAUACUUUACAUGAAAAAUAAUAAUGGGACUUAAAAAUCUAUCAAAAGCUUCACCAUAAUAAUAAUAAUAAUAAUAAUAAUAAUAAAUUGCUACAAUAUUACAACACAAAGUUACAAUAAGAGCUUAUAACUCAACAAAGGUUAUCAAUAAAUAAUCUCAGGCAAGCUAAAGAGAAAUGUUGAGAAUACCACCCGAAUAGUGACUGACUUUAAAAGUUGAAAACCCGAAGCUAUAGUAUCUCAAACGAAAUCAAACCAUUAACAUUAAAAUUUUCAAGUCUACUAGCUACUGUAAAAAAUGCAGCUCCAACAUACACCAAAUGAGUCUUUGAUCGAAGAAAGUACAAAAACUAGUCUGGGUAAACCAAGCUGCCAAACUUACUUAUCUUAUCUUUAAUUUUGCAGUGAAAUUAAAAAUUAAGUUUUUGUUUAUUUCACUUGGAACAACUUUCAAAAAAUUAUUUUUGAAAAAUGGAUUGGUUUUUCGAAAUAGAUGAUAUUUUAUUGUGUUAAAAUUUUAUUCGUUGUUGGAAAACUUUUUUUAAAUCAUUUUCUUAAAGUUAUUUUUAGUGAAACAAACAUAACAUAAAUAUAUUUGUUACAAAAAAAUUAUAUUAGUAUUUUCUUUUGACAAUUAAAAUUUAUUUUAUGAUAAGACAAUAUUUUGUAAUAAUUAAUAUCAUAUAUAUAUACGUAAUAAAAAAAUCUUGUUUAAUUAAAAUUUAAUUAAAAUUAAAUAUAUUAAUAAAGCUACAUAUAAUCAUAUUUUUUAUAAUUAAAAUAUUAAUAUAAAUAUUUUUCAAUAAUAUAUUAAAAUAUUAAAAUUUAAAUUAUUAUUACUUAAAUUAAUUAUUAAAAUAAAAAAUUUAAUAUUAAAUAAUUUAUUCAAUGAUAAGUUUUAUUAAUAAUUUAUUGUAUUAUUAAAUAUAAUUAAUUAAAUAUGCAUAUUUAAUAAUAUUACGUUAUAAUAUUUUAAUAUUCUUAAACAGCCAUGUUUUUAAGAUGCUGGUGAUGGUGAUGCUGCGGGCCUCUCUUGUUACAAUUACUAUAAUUUUUUGUGCAAUAAUUGAAGUUGUUGGGUGGUCAAGCAAACCUCUUUUGACUGAGAUGCAUAUAAUAUACCCGCAUGUCCCCGCCUCCUAAAAUUUAAAUUUGUUAUUUGAAUCUUUAAAUUUUUUAAUAUAAUAUACCCGCAUGUCCCCGCCUCCUAAAAUUUAAAUUUGUUAUUUGAAUCUUUAAAUUUUUUAAAAAUUUUAAAUUCAUAAAAGUAAAAUUAUACUUUGACCCUCUAAAAUUAUAAAAAUUUAAUUAAUCUUUUAAAUUCAUUGGGCCCCUAAUAUAUUGUUCAGGCUUCACCCUUGAUACUGAUGUUGACUAUUUUAGAGUAUGUGUCUUCUUUAACAGGGUUAAAUUAUAUAUUUAUAUAAUAUAGUUAUUGUUUAUGGACGUGACAUCGUAACUAGGUUCUUAUGCAUGUCAACAUAUAUCCUAUUUUAAGGUUAACACGUAUUUUUAAAUGUGAAUUCACCUAUAUAAUGGUAUGAACCAUCAUGCAGUCUCAUAAAAUAUGCGAAUAUAUGUCGUGCGAACACAAAGUACAAUCCACACAGAAUACGAAUUAAGACCCAAUUGAAUAAUCGGAUACGAAUCAGUAAUAAUGAAUUUCAUAACAGCCACCAACCCCUCUUUUGUUUUAAUUUAUUUUAUUUCCAGUAAGUUAUUGUUUGUGAGAAUUCACAACAAAUGCUUUUGUCAUUAUUUUGUUGGUAAAUAAUAAUAAGAUUAAACUUUACUUUCUUAAGCUCCUUCAAUUCUUUGGAAGUUGGUGGUUUUUUAUUCUAAUCUUAUUUUUUUUAUUAAUUUCUUUUUUUAUAAUAAAUGUGUUUAUAGAUCAGGUUGGAUUAUAAUUGAAUCAUUGUCUGGUAUUAACAUAAUUUAAAUCGAUUAAAAUUUAUUCGACUGGAAAUAUAAAUUUAAAAUUUUACUUCAAUUUAUCUUAAUUUAUAAAUUGUGAAUUUAAAUUUAUUUAUUUUCUCUCAUUAUAUUCAGUUUUUCGGAUCAUAUUUGGCCCAGAACAAAAACUAGAACAAAAAAACAAAUAUAUAUGUUUUCCAAAAAUUAAAUUGUUAACUUUAAAAAAAUAUAUUUUUAGCUAUUUAUCAUCAUAGAGAAAAACAAAUAAGGUCACCUCGCCUUAUGCUUCAACACCUCAACCUAGAUUCUCAUCACCUGUAUUUAUCAUCGAUUCAGAUUUUUAUUUUUACUAUAUUCUAGAUCUACCUAUAAAUAUAUCUUCAAACUUCCUCUGGUUAAGUUCAUUCAUAGAUAGGUGAGUAAACUUGAGCUUCAGCUUCAACAAACACCUUAGUUUGCAAUUCUCUCAUACUAAAAAUAUGGAAGUUUACCAUGUAAUUAGAGAUUUGGUCUCAUUGCUUGUUGUUGGUUUAUUAAUGAUAUGGGGAUGGAGAGCUUUAAACUGGGUAUGGUUGGCCCCAAAGAGGCUCGAAAGGUGCUUGAGACAACAGGGUUUUGCAGGGAAUCCUUACAGGUUCCUUUCUGGUGACAUAAAAGAGCUCUUAACUAUGAGCAGACAAACAAGAGCCAAACCUAUGCCUCUUAGUGAUGAUAUUGGGCCUUAUGUUGCUCCUUUUCUUCAUCAAACUGUCAACCAGUAUGGUAUGUUUAAUUAUUAUUUAAUCUUCAAUUUAUGAUAAUUCUUUGUUAUUUAUGAAUGGAAUUUAUUGGGAGGAAAUGCAGGAAAGAAUUCAUUUACGUGGAUUGGUCCAAGACAAAGGGUGAACAUUAUGGACCCUGAAAAAAUAAGAGAAAUAUUUACCAAAUUUAAUGACUUCCAGAAGGUGCGUACCAAUCCACUGCUUACUUUGCUUGUAAGCGGCCUUGUUAACCUCGAAGGAGACCGAUGGAGCAAACAUAGAAAAAUCAUAAACCCUUCAUUUCAUCAAGAUAAGUUGAAGGUAUAGAAUAGUGAUGGGUACUUAAGACUUAAUUUACAGAAAACAUGAUACUUAAAUCUAUGCUUUUCUGAUUUAGAAAUGAUUGGAUGCAGAAUAUGUUGCCAGCAUUUUAUCAAAGUUGUUGUGACAUGUUAAGCAAAUGGGAGAAGAUGGUGUGUACAGAAGGAUACAGUGAGUUAGAUGUGUGGCCUUAUCUUGUAGAUUUGACAAGAGAUGUGAUUUCCCGAUCUGCUUUUGGAAGCAGCUUCGAAGAAGGCAGACGAAUUUUCCAAUUACUAGAUGACCAACUCGUUCUCAGAAUCAAAUUACUACAAACUGUUUACAUUCCAGGAUGGAGGUAACCCUCAAUUUACUUGAAAAAGGUUGCAAAUGUUGGAAUUGGCUAAAUUCGUGUUUGUUUCCUUGAAGGUUUUUGCCCACAAAGACAAACAGGGAGGUGAAGAUGAAACACAAAGACAUAAAAGAGUCGCUCAGGGAAAUGAUAAAAAGAAGAGAGCAGGCAAUUAAAGCAGGGGAAGAGAGCAAUGAGGACUUGUUGGACAUACUUGUGGAAUCCAAUAUCAGAGAAAUGGAAGCAAAGAAAAAGGGGAUGAGCAUUGAGGAUGUGAUUGAGGAAUGCAAGCUGUUUUACUUUGCUGGCCAGGAGACCACUUCGGUCUUACUGGUGUGGACUAUGGUUUUAUUAGCAAGGUAUCCCGAUUGGCAAAGUAAAGCAAGAGAGGAGGUUUUGCAUGUUUUGGGUGACAGUAAACCUGAUGCUGAUGGCCUUAAUCGCCUCAAAGUUGUAAGUCCCUAGCAUGUCUUUUGAAGGUCCGAUCAAUAAGGUCGACAACUCAAAAAUUUGGUUUCUUUUUUCGCUAAUUCUACAGUUAACAAUGAUAUUGUACGAGGUUCUAAGGCUGUACCCAUCAGCGACUGAGCUAGGACGUUCCGUUCCAAAAGAAAUAAAACUGGGAAAUUUGUUGUUACCAGCAGGAACAGAAAUUUCGGUUCCGAUCCUGCUGAUCCACCAUGACAAAGAUCUUUGGGGCGAUGACGCACGGGAAUUUAAGCCAGAGCGGUUCGCGGAAGGGGUUUCCAAAGCAACAAAGAGUCAAGUCACGUUUCUGCCAUUCGGAUGGGGUCCUAGGAUCUGCAUUGCCCAGAAUUUUGCUAUGAUGGAAGCCAAAAUGGCGGUGGCCAUGAUUCUCCAACGCUUCUGGUUCGAGCUUUCCCCUUCCUAUGCUCACUCUCCUUGCAGCAUGGUAACGCUUCGUCCACAGCAUGGUGCACAGAUUAUUUUACAUAAACUUGGCUCUAAUUGAGUAGUUAUGUAAACAAAUCAUUGUGAAAAUAGUGUUUUAACGUAUCGUAAAAACUCCGGUGUCUGUAAUGGAACAAUUCCGAUGCAUGGAUAGUAAAUUUUGUGAUGUUUGGUGAAGUCCGAAAUAAUAUGCAGAACUUGAGUGUCCUGAAUGGAUGUAGUAUUUAAUGGUGGACAUAGUUGAGGGACUAAUGUGGGAAUUAUCAAACAAAGAAUUGCAUAUGGUACAAAGACUUGUAUGGAAAUUAGAGCAGGGGGAGUAGAAAAUGACUACUUCUACGGGCAUCAAUUGAGAAAGAUUUCCGGUGCAAAUGUUAGCAAAUUUUUGAGCUUCAGCCUUAAACAUUAGCAAGAUUGCAAUACCGGGAUUAUCUAGUGUUGGUUGCCCACUCAAUUGAGGGUUAAGUUGAAGGAUUUGUUGAAGCAAGCUAAGCUAUCAAUCAAGGUUGGAGCAAGCUUAGGAGGUCACAAUACAUCAUUAUUGCAUAAUUAUUUAAAUGAAAUUUAAUAUUUAAAUAAAAAAUAUUAAUAUAGUACCAACAAUAUUCCAUUUCUUUUAACCAAGUGUUUCUAGAUUAUGAAAUUCAUUAAUGAUUUGUAAAAUAUAUUGAUGCGAUCCCGGCCGCAUCAUGUUUCGAUACAACUCGAUGACCUCAGAAUUGACCUAAACUCUAGGGGCCCAAGUGCAAAAUGAAGCUUAAUUUCAGCUCAAUGAGCUCAAUUCUAGCUUCUUCAAGCUCGUCUAGUUCAACCCAAGCUCAUUUAGCUUAACUUCAACCCAUUUUUAAUUUGUUGGAAUAAGUAUUUAGUUGCUGGAAUAAAUUACUCAUCUUAGUUAAUUGAGUUCAUCUUAGUUAAUUAAGUUGUUGGAAUAUAUUACUCAUCUUAGUUAAUUUAGUUGCUAGAAUAAUUUAUUGUUGCAUGUGUUUUUAAGUUUAUUAAAUUCAGUUAAGUGUUAAAUGUGUUUAUUUACAGUUUAUUAACUAAGCUUGUUAAGUCUAAUAUGUGUUAAAAUGUGUUUAAUGUGUUUGUUUGUAGGUGACUAAUCAGUUGGAAACAAUUAUGUACAAGGGCUGUUACAAAGUGUUAAAUGCGACUAUUCAUUUGGAAUCGGUUACAUACAAGGGGCUAUUACAUUAUUUAAAGGAGAGCAUUAUACAUCAUUUAAAGGAGAAUUUAAAGCUUUUCUUAAAACUUUUUGGCUGCUCAAGAAUGAAAUCUAAGCAUUCAAGCUUAUUAAAUCAACUGAAUUAGAACAUUAAAUGAUCUUAUUGAUAGUUGCUGUUAUUUAGGCCUAGAAUUUCAAGAGUUUGUGCUUAGUGACUAAGUUAAUUUCAGCUCAUUAUUAGCUCAUUAAGCUGAACAAAAGUGACUAUUCGGCUAGGCCUCAUCUAGCACUAUAAAUACUUGUAAUCAGCUCAUUGUAAAAAAAACUUUUUGCUGAAUUUAUGCUAAAUUUGAAACUUGUGAGAUUUCCAAUUCUCGUUGUUCUUUCGAGAUUGAAUUGACUUAUCAAGUUUUCUUGUGGCAUCAUUCUUUCUUUUGUUUAAACCGAAUCUUAUCACCUUUUGGUGUGGCGUUCAUAUACAUUUGGUUCCUAUCACUUUUGAUAGUGGGUAAAGGUCAUUGCUGCUUUCUUUAAAUCGUAAAUCACCUAAGAGCCAUUUUGAGACUCGGGUCAACAAUCUAAUAUUGUUGGUUCAUUCUCGGUCUUAGCCAAAUUAUCCAUUAUUUACUUAACCAUUUUACCUACUACCAUUGUUUGAAGCCAUUUAUCCUAUUUUGUUUCAUUUAACUGAAACGAACUUAUCCUUACUCAAUUCACGAUCGGGUAAUCUAAACGACUCGAAUCAUUCCGAAACGAGUUCGUAUCAUAUAUCCUCCAUUCUUAUUGAGUGGGUGUAAUGAAAAUUCUCCUAUUUCUAAUUGUGAUAAAGUAGAAACUCUCUUUAGAAAAAAGGCAGCAACAUUUUUCAAUUAUUAAUUGAACACCUUGGUGAAUUUUCGUUUUUUUUCUUUUUUUCUUUUUACGGUUCAAUUUUCGUUUGGGUAUUGUAAUUUCAGGUUAAUCAUUGUUUGGUUGAUAUUCUCAACUUCAAUCUUUAAUUUACUUGAGAUUAUUAGUUGAUUGUUUUUGUUGGAAUUAUAUGAUUUUAUUGUGUAUUUAUGUUUUAAUCUUUUAGAAAGAAGUUUUUAUGUGGACUUUCAAGCUUCGUAAUUUUUAUUAUUUGCUUUACGUAAAAAAAACUCGUGGGAUACAAAAAUUCACAAAAAAACUUGCUAUAAGAUUACAACACAAAACCAUAAGCUUAUAACUCAACAAAAGCUAUCAAUAAAUAAUCUCAAGCUAGCUAAAGAGAAAUGUAAAGAAUAUCACCCAAACAGUAACUUGCUUUAAAAGUUAAAAAUCCAAAGUUAUAGUACCCCAAACGAAAAUCGAAUAUUAAACAUUAAAGAUCUUCGAUUCUACUAGCUAUUGUAAAAAAAAAAAAUUCCAACGGACACCAAAUAGACCUUUGAUCGAAGAAAAUACGAAAACUAGUCUGGUUAAAACUACAUGCCAAACUCACUUUUUCUCAUUUCUUUAACUUGCGGUGAAAUUCAAAACUAAGGUUAUAUUUUUUUCACUGAAAUUAACUUUAAAAAAAUUAUCUCUAAAAAAUGAUUGAUUUUUCAAAAAAGAUUGAUAUUUUUUUAUGUUUGGAUGAUUUUUUGUAAAAUAUAUUUCGUUGUUUGACAAAUUUUUUUGAAAUAAUUUUCUUAGAGUUGUUUUUAGUAAAACAAACAUAAGAUAGAUAUAUUUGUUACAAAAGAUUAUAGUAACAUUUUCUUUUGACAAUUUAAAUUUAUUUUAUAACCAGAUGAUAUUUUAUAAUAAUUAAUAUUAUAUAUAAACUUAAUAAUAAACAAUAUCUAAUUAAAACUUAAUUUAUAUUAAAUAUAUUAAUAAAGCUAAGUAUAAUUUAAACAAAUACUCAUGUUUUAUAUCAUUAAAAUAUUAAUAUAAAUAUUUUUCAAUAAUAUAUUAAGAAUAUUAUUUAAAAUUUAAAAUUAUUAUUUUUAAAAUUAAUUAUUAAAAUAAAAAUGUAAUAUUAAAUAAUUUAUCAAAAUGAUAAGUCAUAUUAAUAAUUUAUUAGAUUAUUAAAUAUAAAUAAUUAAAUAUGUAUAUUUAAUAAUAUUGAACAUUAUAAUAUUUUUUAUUAAUAUUUUAAUAUUAUUAAUAUAAUAAUAUUGGACUUGAUUCAAGUUAAUUUUUAUAUAAAAAAAUAAAAUUACAUGUAAAUGAACUCAUUUUCAAAAAAAUAACUUGUACUUUUAAAAAAGGUAAACUAAUUUACAGAAAAAUAAACUUAUUUUCUGUUAAUCUAUAAUUUUUUUUGUUAAUCAAAUUAUUUUCAUGAAAUAAAUAUAAAAAAAUACAAAAAAAAAACAGUUUCCAUAUUAACACUCAAUACUAAACUGUCAUUUUCCUCAGCUUCCCUAAUUUGUAUGUAGCAGUGAACGUUUGAUCGAAUCGAGUAAAAAAAAUUGAGUUGACGAGUCAUAUUUUAUCAUCUUAACUUGAUUUGAGAUUUUUUUAAAUCAAGUCAAAGACUAAGAGCACAUAAAUUUGAAACCUUAUCUAUUUGAAUUUGUUUUUAAAAAAAAAGAAAAAAAAUACUUUAGCAUGAUAAACUUGAAUUGUGAAUUAACUUAUUUAGAUCCCAAAAUUAUUAUUUUAUAAUUUUUUUAAAAAAUAUAAAUUUUAAAAUUUUUAUAAAUAUUUUGAAUUGAAUUUUUGUUGAGAGAGAGACCGAUCUAUCAUUUUCAAAAUUAAAAAAAAGACCAAACUAUAUUUACAGCAAUUUAUUAUUCGAAUUAUUUAAAUUAUAUAAUUUAACUCAAUUUAAAAUCGAAACUCGAAUAACUAAAUUUAAUUAACCCGAAAUUUAUUUUUUAAAUUUUUUAAAUCAAAUCGAAUUUUGUUCGCCCUACAUCAAUAACUUUGUAUCCAUAUCAAGCUUUUUUUUAAGCUAUAUAUAUUAUUUUAGAGAAUACAUGGUCACCACGGUUCAAUGAUUGAACACCACUCCACUCUCCACUUUUUUUUGUGGUUUAUCCUCUUAAUUUUUUGAGGAUAUCAUUUACUAAAUAAUUUAUUUUUUACAUAAAUUUUAAUAUAUAUUAAUAAUAAAUUAAUUCAAUUGGUAAUAUUUAACUAUUCUCAUGACUCAUUUUUAAUAAAGAAAAUAAUAAAAUUCAAUUAUGAUAAGGAGGUUUUAUUUUUAACAAAAAUUAUUUUUUAUAUUUCUAAGUUUAAAUCUAAAUUUAUACAAGUUAUUCUUUAUUUUAUAUCUAAUUAUUGUAAAACAUAAAUAAUAAUUUUUUUUUUUCCUUUUCAUGCUACCAAACAAUCCAUUAAUCAUUAAUUAUAUUAAAAUCUUUGACUUAUUAAUAUUUAUGGACAGUAAAUCGGAUGCUAAAGAAAUCUUAGUCAAACCAAAAAGAAAGAAGAGAUAGAGGUGGGCAAAGCUGAGGUUCAGCUUUCAUAAACACCUUCAUUUGAAGACACAGUUCUCAUACUCAAACCAAAAGACAUGGAAGUUUUCCUUGUAAUUAGAGAUCUGGUUUCACUGCUUGUUGUUGGGUUAUUAAUGAUAUGGGGAUGGAGGGCUUUAAACUGGGUAUGGUUGACCCCAAAGAGACUCGAAAGGUGCUUGAAACAACAGGGUUUUGCAGGAAAUCCUUAUAGGUUCCUUUCUGGAGACAUCAAAGAGAGCUUCACUAUGAGCAGACAAACAAGAGCCAAACCUAUGCCUGUUAGUGAUGAUAUUGAGGCUUAUGUUGUUCCUUUUCUUCAUCGAACUAUCAACAAUCAUGGUAUGUUCUACAUUAAUCUGCAAUUUCAUCGUGAUAUUCAGAUUUCUUUUUUUAUGUCUGAAGUUUAUUAGGGGAUAUGCAGGAAAUAAUUCAUUUAUGUGGUUUGGUCCAAGACCAAGGGUGACAAUUAUGGACCCUGAAAAAAUAAGAGAAAUAUUUACCAAAUUCAAUGACUUCCAGAAGCCUCAUUCCAAUCCACUGGUUAGAUUCCUUGUAGGUGGCCUUUCCAACCUCGAGGGAGACCAAUGGAGUAAGCAUAGAAAAAUUUUAAACCCUGCAUUUCAUCAAGAUAAGUUGAAGGUAUGUUGUAUUUGCACUUUUUUUCCUCUUUCAAUUCAAUCAUUUUGACUUACCUUAAUCAAUACCUUUAGGAGACUAAUUUUCAUUUCUAAUAUAUUUAUGUACUUCUGGUAUGGAAAUAAUUGCAGAACAUGUUGCCAGCAUUUUAUCAAAGUUGUAAUGAGAUGAUAAGCAAAUGGGAGGAGAUGGUGUCUAAAGAAGGGUACAGUGAGUUAGAUGUGUGGCCUUAUAUCGUAAAUAUGACAAGAGAUGUGAUUUCCCGAGCUGCGUUUGGGAGCAGCUACGAAGAAGGAAGAGGAAUUUUCCAACUAUUAGAGGACCUAACCUCUCUCACAAUCAAAGUUUUUCAAUCUGUUUACAUUCCAGGAUGGAGGUAAACCUGAACUUUAUCUUCGAGUUUUAAGGAAAAUGUUACAGAUGUUGAAAUUCGAAUCUCGGGUGUUUGUUUUCUUGAAGGUUUUUACCCACAAAGACUAACAGGGAGUUGAAGAUGAAACACAAAGACAUAAAAGAAUCGCUUAGGGAAAUGAUAAAGAGAAGAGAGAAGGCAAUUAAAGCAGGGGAAGAGAGCAAUGAGGACUUGUUGGACAUACUUGUGGAAUCCAAUAUCAGAGAAAUGGAAGCAAAGCAUAAGGGGAUGAGCAUUGAGGAUGUGAUUGAGGAAUGCAAGCUGUUUUACUUUGCUGGCCAAGAGACCACUUCGGUCUUACUGGUGUGGACUAUGGUUUUACUAGCAAGAUAUCCUGAUUGGCAGACUAAAGCAAGGGACGAGGUCUUGCAUGUUCUUGGUGACCGUAAACCUGAUGCUGAUGGCCUUAAUCGUCUCAAAGUUGUAAGACCCCUUCUCCUAAAUUCUCUCAUUAUUAUUGCACCGAAUAUAUAAAAUUAAUCAUUUUACUACUCGUUUUUCCAAGUUAACAACUAAAAAACUUGGUUUCUUUGUUUCGCUAAUUCUACAGGUAACAAUGAUAUUGUACGAGGUUCUAAGGCUAUACCCAGCAGUCGUUUCGCUAGCACGCUCCAUUCCAAAAGAAAUAAAACUGGGAAAUUUGUUGUUGCCAGCCGGAACAGAACUUUUGCUUCCAAUCCUGCAGAUCCACCAUGACAAAGAUCAUUGGGGUGACGACGCACAUGAAUUUAGGCCUGAGCGGUUCGCCGAAGGGGUUUCCAAAGCAACAAAGAGCCAAGUCACGUUUCUGCCUUUUGGAUGGGGUCCUAGGAUCUGCAUUGGCCAAAACUUUGCCAUGAUGGAAGCCAAAAUGGCGAUGGCUAUGAUUCUCCAACGAUUCUGGUUCGAGCUUUCCCCUUCCUAUGCACACUCUCCUUGCACCAUGAUAACACUUCGUCCACAGCAUGGUGCACAG
rnacentral:lncRNA from 1 species